rnacentral:lncRNA from 1 species
UCCAAUCCUGCUGAACACAAACAUUAACACCGCGUCAAAAUGACGACCGAAAUGUCCGAUUUCGGCCUAAUUUACACUUAGUACAAGGUAAUAGCUUGAAUCCCUGCUUUGGGCUAGUGUAAUACCUCAAGUGUAACCUCCAGGAGUCCUCACAAGUCAGUCGAAGACGAUCCAAGGCUCGAUCGCAAUCUCGCUGCGAACAACGUCAAAACGGCGUCAAAAUGCUUGUAUAUAAGCUUAUAUGGUUCAAUUCUUGCGAAAUUGAAUUUCUAACAGAAAUUCCUGCUUACCCUUGGUUAGAACAGCUUUCAAAUCAGCUUCUAAGAGUACAAGUUCAGCUCAACGAAGCUCGAAGACCUGCUGCGAAGAAAUAAUCCCCAAUUGCAUCAAGUCGCUCCAAUAGUUGCAUUUAGUUCCAAUUUAGCUUCAUAAAUGGCUAAUUCUCUCAAUUAACCUUCAAAGAAGCUUAUCCCUAGUCUAAGGAGCUUAAUUCACAGCUAAGUAAUUCAUUUUUAAUAGCUGAAUUCUCAGUUAUGUCGGUUAGAAGCAAAAACUCAAACUCAAUACUCAAAUCGACAAUUAGAAUGCCGAUAACGGAAAACAUCGAGUCGUUUAUCUUCUCAAGCUUCCAACCAGCGAACUCUUGGUUCGGGGAUGCAAAAAUCCCUCCAAAACGCUCUCUUGCAUGUGCACAAAGGCGCUGCGACGCUCGCAACCAGCGAAGAACGCGCGCGACGACGAAAACGAGCGAAAUCGGCGACUUCUUUGUAGAGAGAGAAAAACCCUAGAGAGAGAGAGAGAGAAAGAUGGGAGAACACUCCUUUGGACUCCAGCAGGCUCCACUGAGUAUCCCUGGUCGAGCUGGGGUCUUAAAGAUAGAGAUCAAGUGUGAAAUUACCGAAAUACCCAAGCUGCCACGUUUCUGCAUUGUGUACCGGUACAAGCUAAUGGCUGUACCGGUACAGCAAGCAGAAAAAGCUGGUUUUCGCCCGAGCAAUGCACUUUCUUGCUUCUAGCCUUCCAAGCACUCUUUAACUUAUUCAAAAACUUGUUCAAGUCCUAUAGAACAUGUAGAAGAGUUCCACACAUCAUUCCUCGCACUCGAAUUUCGCAAUUUGUAAAAAUUCAGUAUAUUACAUUUCACCCCUCUUAAAAAGGAGUUUCGUCCGCGAAACUUUAGAUAAUUACCUUAAGGUUCAGUCGAGAAAAGAUAGUGGUAGUGCUCUCGCAUUGCACUUUCCAGUUUCCAAGUGGCUUCCCGUUCAUCGUGAUUGCUCCACAGUAUCUUCACGUAAGGUAUUUCGCGAUUUCGAAGCCGUUUCACCUCUCGAGCUAAUAUUUUCACUGGAUGCUCCUCAAAGCUCAAAUCUUCUUGUAAAUCCACUGGAGUACGUCCCAAUAUGUGGGUUGGAUCAAAAACAUACUUUCGCAGUGUAGAGACAUGAAACACAUUGUGCACUCCCGAUAAGUUUGGCGGCAAGGCAAGCCGAACGCUACGGGGCCGAUCCGCUCCAACACCUCGUAGGGUCCGAUAUAUCGAGGACUCAGCUUCCCUCCUAUGCCAAAUCUCUUAACUCUUUUCGUUGGUGAUACUUUCAGGAAUACAUGAUCGCCAACCUGAAAUUCCAGUUCUCGCCGACGUUUAUCCACAUAACUCUUUUGUCGACUUUGUGCUGUCAGUAGACGUUCUCGUGCCAGUCGAACUUUAGCUUCAGUUUCGUGCAGUAUAUCUGGACCCAAAACUAAUCUUUCUCCCACUUCGCUCCAAUGAAGUGGUGAUCUGCACUUUCUACCAUAAAGGGCUUCAAAAGGUGCCAUCUGAAUACUUGCUUGAUAACUAUUGUUAUAAGCAAAUUCAGCCAUCGGCAGGAACUGUGGCCAACUGCCCUGGUAAUCAAUCACACAGGCCCUCAACAUAUCCUCAAAGGUCUGGAUAGUACGUUCGGACUUCCCAUCACUCUGGGGGUGGAAAGCAGUACUAAAAUCCAAUCGAGUACCCAUGGCCUCCUGUAAACUCUUCCAGAAAUGUGAAACGAAUCGGGUGUCUCGAUCUGAAACAAUCGAAGCAGGUACUCCGUGUAAACGCACAAUUUCAUCAAGAUACACUUGUGCGAGUCUCUCCGCCGACCAGACUGUAUGAAUCGGAAUAAAGUGGUCAGAUUUGGUCAAUCUAUCAACAAUUACCCAGAUUGUGUCGUGACCUGCUUGUGAGCGAGGUAAUCCCACGAUAAAAUCCAUAGUGAUCCUCUCCCACUUCCACACUAGUAUGGGUAAGCUCUGAAGUUUUCCCGCAGGAAGUCGAUGCUCAGCCUUAACCUGCUGACAGGUUAAGCAUCUGGCCACAAAAUCUGCAAUUUCCUUUUUCAUUCCAAGCCACCAGUAAUUCAGCUUCAAAUCUUUAUACAUUUUCGUACUCCUAGGGUGUAAAGCAUACGGCGCCCGAUGUGUUUCUGUUAGAAUCUCUUCCUUAAUACCAGGAUCCGCCGGUACACAAACUCUAUCCCCGAUUGGAGAACCCAGAACGGUGGUGGGUUUUACGAAUUCGGCCCAAUUCUCAAAUCAGGAUAAUAUAGAGUAUAUAUCCUGAUAGAUCCCAGAGUGUCAACGUUUCAAAUAUGUCUAGUAUUUUCGAAUUUCAUAGACAAAUGAGUUUUUCUUAAUUUGUACUCUGUUGCAUCUACCAACCUCAACGAGUUCCUAAUACUAAACUGAUAGGAGAUAGUAGGCCGUUUUCGAUUACAACAUCGUCUACGAAAUUCAGCUUUUAGCUGCCUUUUAAACCGCUACAGCUAUUGAAACGUUGGUAACAACCAUUUCCUUUACCUCGUUAACUUCAACCUUCAACAUCGAGGAUUGUGCGGAACCUCGGAAUACAGCAAUCACCACGUUGGAUGGGACUAGCUAGCUUAAUUUCUUUUCGUUCGAGUUCUACUUAAAAACGUUUUCGAAGUUCGUUUUUAGUGAUAACUAAUACAACCACUAAAAGCUCACCUACUAGUCCCUGACAACUUUANNNNNNNNNNNNNNNNNNNNNNNNNNNNNNNNNNNNNNNNNNNNNNNNNNNNNNNNNNNNNNNNNNNNNNNNNNNNNNNNNNNNNNNNNNNNNNNNNNNNNNNNNNNNNNNNNNNNNNNNNNNNNNNNNNNNNNNNNNNNNNNNNNNNNNNNNNNNNNNNNNNNNNNNNNNNNNNNNNNNNNNNNNNNNNNNNNNNNNNNNNNNNNNNNNNNNNNNNNNNNNNNNNNNNNNNNNNNNNNNNNNNNNNNNNNNNNNNNNNNNNNNNNNNNNNNNNNNNNNNNNNNNNNNNNNNNNNNNNNNNNNNNNNNNNNNNNNNNNNNNNNNNNNNNNNNNNNNNNNNNNNNNNNNNNNNNNNNNNNNNNNNNNNNNNNNNNNNNNNNNNNNNNNNNNNNNNNNNNNNNNNNNNNNNNNNNNNNNNNNNNNNNNNNNNNNNNNNNNNNNNNNNNNNNNNNNNNNNNNNCUAAACUCUUAACCCGGCUUAAGCAUUUUGGGUGGUGGCAAGACCCAAGAGGUUAAGAGAGUUAAGCGUGCUAGGACGGGAGUAGUCCUAGGAUGGGUGACCCCCUGGGAAGUUGGGGCGUCUCAGCAACGCUCGCCGUAGAGGUAGUGGCGCCAAAGCUUUAAAGCAAAUACCACAGCUGCCAAUUCCAGAUCAUGUGUAGGGUAGUUCUUUUCAUAAUCCUUCAACUGGCGAGAUGCAUAAGCAAUUACUCUGCCAUUCUGCAUUAAAACACACCCUAACCCAUUCAGCGACGCAUCGCUGUAAAUUACAUAAUCCAUUCCAGUAACCGGCAGUGCUAGAAUCGGGGCGGUAGUUAAUCAUUUUUUCAGCUCCUGAAAGCUUCUUUCACAUGCUUCACUCCACAGAAACUUAGCUCCUUUAUGUGUGAGUCGAGUGAGAGGGGUAGACAUCUUCGCGAAUCCUUCUACAAAAUCUUUGGUAGUAUCCCGCCAAACCAAGGAAACUCCGAAUCUCUGUCACGCUGGUCGGCCUGGGCCAAUCCGUAAUUGCUUCAAUCUUCUUUGGGUCCACAGCUAUCCCAGUUUCUGAAAUCACAUGGCCCAGAAAUGCCACUUCUCGAAGCCAAAAUUCGCAUUUCUUUAGCUUUGCAAAUAGUUCCUUUUCUCGAAGUACUUGUAACACCACUCUCAAAUGGUUUUCAUGCUCCUCAUCGCUUCGAGAAUAGAUCAAGAUAUCAUCGAUGAAGACGACCACAAACCUGUCCAGAUAGGGUUUAAAGAUAUGGUUCAUUAAAUCCAUAAAGGCUGCUGGGGCAUUUGUUAAUCCGAAUGGCAUGACUGUAAAUUCAUAAUGCCCAUACCGUGUCCUAAAGGCGGUCUUAGAGACAUCUUCAGGCUUGAUCUUAAGCUGAUGAUACCCAGAUUGCAAAUCAAUCUUGGAGUAUACUUUCGAUCCUUGCAGCUGAUCGAAUAAGUCAUCAAUUCUGGGCAAUGGAUAUUUAUUCUUGAUUGUGACUUUGUUGAUUUCUCGAUAAUCCACGCACAAUCGAAGAGAUCCAUCCUUUUUCUUGACAAAUAACACCGGUGCUCCCCAGGGCGAUACACUGGGUCAAAUGAAUCCUUUAUCUAACAGUUCUUGUAACUGUGCUUUCAGCUCUUUCAAUUCAGCGGGUGCCAUCCUAUAAGGCGCUUUAGAAAUAGGGGUAGUCCCAGGAACAAGAUCAAUCACAAACUCAACUUCCCUAUCAGGUGGCAUGCCCGGCAAUUCAGCUGGAAACACAUCCCCGAAUUCUCGCACAACCGGGAUAUCAUCAAUCUUGACGGCUUUUCCGUCACUCACAGAAAUGCUAGCCAAAUAUGCUACACAACCUCUCCGUAUCAACUGUCGUGCUCUCGACGAGCUAAUAGUCAUUGCGAACAAUGAACUCUGACACCCCUUAUAAACAAACUCUUGCUGACCUAGUUCCCUAAAGGUUACUGUUCUGUUCGUGCAAUCUAUAGUGGCAUAAUACUGUGUCAACCAAUCCAUACCCAAUACUACAUCAAACUCUCCUAGUUUGUGUAGUGCUAAUAAGUCUACUGGCAUAAUCCAGUCGCCUACCCUGACUGGGCAGCGAGGGCAAUACUCACAAAUAUCCAGGGUAUGGUUGGGCACGAUCACUCGUCCCGGAUACAAAGUAGGUACUAACCGUAUGCUAUGCAACUCGGCAAACAGCCGAUCAAUAAAGGAAUGUGAGGCACCAGUAUCAAAUAAUGCACGAACACGAACAUCAUGAAUCAAAAUAAUACCUGCUACGACCUCCUAUGCUGCUGCGGCGCCCUCAGUCUGAGCGGCAUACAUCCGCCCACUUGAACCCUGCUGCGAACUCUCCGACUGCCGCUGUCCUGGUGGUCGCCUAGACUGAUAGGGUGCUGUCAGGGUCCCCUGGCUCGGAGCUGAAGAUGCAGGUGCAGAAGCUGACGAGGGUGCAGGCAAAGAACCUCUCGGGCACUCUGAGCGAAAGUGGCCCUCCUGACCGCAGAGAAAACACCUGCCCCCACGUUGUGGACACUGUGGCGGCACGUGAGGCCCACCACAGAUAACACAACGCGGCGGUCGACGACGCUCAGGUGCUCCACGGGGGGCUGCUGAAGAACCUCGACCCCUCGACUGACCUGACUGGCCCCUCGGAUACUUUGGUGGCUUUCUGAAGGAUUGCUGACCACUGCUCUCAACUGCCGGUCUUUUUCCUUUUCUUCGAUCCACAAUAUCCCUUUCCUUCAUAAUUUCUGCCCCCUUCUCAACAAUCAAGGCCCGGUUCACUACAUCCCUAUAAGUAGAGAGGUUUGACGCCUGGACCAAUCUGAAAAUCGCAGGUCGCAAACCCACCUCAAAGAUACGAGCCUUGUCCUCAUCAUCUCUAACCACAAAAGGAACACAGUGCAGUAAUCGUGAGAACUCUCGCUCGUACUCAGCCACUGUCCUGUCCCCCUGUCUCAAGUUUCUCAAAUCCCUUUCCAUUUGUCUCUUUACACUCUGAGGAAAAUAGUAGUCAACAGUAAUUCCUUGAACCUCGUCCAGGUGAUAGCGGACAAAUCAGCACGGGGGUCCUUACGGAUAUCCACCCACCAUCUGUAAGCCUCGCCAUCAAGGUGGUGUGUCGCAAACCAAACUCGGUACCGCUCCUCAACAAAGGUAUCAUAAAAUAACUUCUCCAUAUGCAUCAGCCAUUUUUCAACCACCCAAUGAUCGGCUUUUUCCCCGUCAAAGAUACGAGGGUUGCAGCGACGGAAUUCAUUUAGUCGCUCCAUCAUCCGCUCUCGCACCUCAACCCCCACCAUCUCAGGUAACACUGUCCCUGCUGCAGGCACUGGUGCUGCUCGUGGCACUACUGUCUCCUGUCGGGGCUCUACCCUCAGGGCUACUGGGGGUGUAUCUGGUACAGAUGACUGUGCUCUCGCAGUCGUGUCCUUCUCUGGCGCUGUAGGUAUAGAAUCUGGAAUCUCUUUGUCGGCCGUCUGCCGCAGUAACAGACCUCUAACCUCUUUAUCCUGUCCUCCUGUCGACGCGCAGCGUCCAUCUGCUGUCGCGCUGCCGAUGCCUGCCGUGUCACUAGCUGAGUCAACACUGCGAGCUGUUCCUGUAACUCCCUGACCUCACUGGACCCCGAAGUGACGGAAGUCUCUACUUCUUCCGCAGCGGCCGCCUAAGCCGCCCCGGCGGUCCCAGAACGAGUCGUAGGCAUCUUGAGCUGCAGCACAAAAUGAAUAUAGAUUAAUAAAACCUAUACUAUUGACCCUUUACUUCAGAUAAAAAAAAAAUCAGCUAAUUAGCGAAAGUAAUGAGAUGUAACGCAUACUAACUUCCGAUGUUACGUUGUCGGCCGCCAACGUGACCCUCUGCAAAGUUAGUAAUUGCACAUCCCAAUCAAACUCCUACUAGUCGGAGUUUAUAAAUACCCAAUAAAAAUACUUUCGCUAACCACAACCUCGACUAGACGUCGUCUCUUACGAGCCUAUCCUUAUAGUCCAACCAGCUUAAGGUUUGCUAGGUCUACGAAGACUCAACCCUAGGCUCUGACACCACUAUAAUCUGUCACACCCGGGUACCAGCGGAAGCAUAUCAGGUACGUGCACAGACCCGCCAUACACCUGCAGUAUAUAAGGCGUCUACGAAGAAAGCAAGUCGAUAGGAAGUAAAACAAAGAGAGUCCUAUCCUGAUAUCAGAGCAAUGUACAAGUCGAUAUACUAUCAGUAAAAGAACAAAGAGUAUACAAUCCAAAAUCUCAGCAAAAGGAGAAGAAGUAUGAACUAUAACAUCUGGAUCUACAACUCAUAUACAACACAGGGUACACAAAAACAUCUAUACAAUGGUAGUCACUCUAUACAAUGGACAUCACCCUCGGCCGUAGCCCGAGUAGCAAGGUGAUCGACUAGCACGCUCCUAGCAAAGUCUAGCUAGACGCGACUCCCUUGCCACGAUCCCUAGCCUCUCCUGUAGAUGGCUCUGUAAAAACAACCAUAGAAAAGGGCGUGAGAACUAUUAACAAUAGUUCCCAGUGGGUAAGCCGUCAGCCUCGGCGAAUUACACCACUAGGCUCAUGAUGUAUUAAAUGGAAAGUAAAAGCAAUAAUUGCAUGAUGCUAACAAGUAAUGAGUAUGUAAUUGCAGGAUACCUUUCUAAUGCUAAGCAAUUAAUAAGCAUGUAAACAACAUGUAAUAGCUUUCUACAGUAAUGAAUUGAACAAUAAAAGCAUAGCAGCUACUGUAAGCAUGAACAUAAAUAUGAAUGUGUAAGCAGAAACUAUACACAAUGACCGGUGAUCAUUCAUUACUGUCCAAUAUCCUUUAGCACUUUCUUUUCAUUCACAGGGACCUACCCAAGGUAGUCCAGCUUGCGCCGCGCCUAAUGGCCCCGUGGUAGUAUACACUCCCCACGGCAAUCCACUUCGGCACCCAAUCCCGCACGGGCGAGCAACUGUCGCGUAGGCCAACUCCGGAGUGCCGGCUUGUAGGGAGCGACCCUCACAAGCGUGUGCGAAUGAGCACGAUGGCAAGCAAGCAUAUUUCACAGUCCACAGGUCUCAAUUAUCAUGCUUUCAUUUGUAAUGUUCUUACCCUCGAUCCUCUGAUCGGAAUUUCAAUACACGAAUAGUAACAAGAACUAGUAUCCACUAGAUUGUAAACAUGUAAGAGUAAUGUUAAAUCACAUGGCAUUAUAAUCUUUCCACUAUUAUGGCACUGUUAAUAUAAUCAUAAGCAUGUCAUAGUUCUCUACUUUAGAGUCAAGAGAAUGUCAUUGUUCUCUACUUUAUAAGUGCAUCCUACACUUGUUCAUAAGUCAUUCAACUGAAUUGAAUAUAAAUAUAAAUACUUUCAUGUAUAUGUGUUCUCUACUUUAUAGAGAUUUCAAUUCAAUUUUACUUCUCAAGUCCUAUAUCAAACACAAAAGCUCACAACAACACCAAUUCUAUAGUACAUAUAGAUCAUAGGGGAGCUCCACUUGCUCUGGUUAGGUCCGACCCACCUAGUACUAGGCUCCAAUAGUCACAAGAAGUCCCAAUAGUCAGCUCAACAAGGCUCCAAUCCUGCUGAACACAAACAUUAACACCGCAUCAAAAUGACGACCGAAAUGUCCGAUUUCGGCCUAAUUUACACUUAGUACAAGGUAAUAGCUUGAAUCCCUGCUUUGGGCUAGUGUAAUACCUCAAGUGUAACCUCCAAGAGUCCUCACAAGUCAGUCGAAGACGAUCCAAGGCUCGAUCGCAAUCUCGCUGCGAACAACGUCAAAACGGCGUCAAAAUGCUUGUAUAUAAGCUUAUAUGGUUCAAUUCUUGCGAAAUUGAAUUUCUAACAGAAAUUCCUGCUUACCCUUGGUUAGAACAGCUUUCAAAUCAGCUUCUAAGAGUACAAGUUCAGCUCAACGAAGCUCGAAGACCUGCUGCGAAGAAAUAAUCCCCAAUUGCAUCAAGUCGCUCCAAUAAUUUGCAUUUAGUUCCAAUUUAGCUUCAUAAAUGGCUAAUUCUCUCAAUUAACCUUCAAAGAAGCUUAUCCCUAGUCUAAGGAGCUUAAUUCACAGCUAAGUAAUUCAUUUUUAAUAGCUGAAUUCUCAGUUACGUCGGUUAGAAGCAAAAACUCAAACUCAAUACUCAAAUCGACAAUUAGAAUGCCGAUAACGGAAAACAUCGAGUCGUUUACCUUCUCAAGCUUCCAACCAGCGAACUCUUGGUUCGGGGAUGCAAAAAUCCCUCCAAAACGCUCUCUUGCACGUGCACAAAGGCGCUGCGACGCUCGCAACCAGCGAAGAACGCGCGCGACGACGAAAACGAGCGAAAUCGGCGACUUCUUUGUAGAGAGAGAAAAACCCUAGAGAGAGAGAGAGAGAAAGAUGGGAGAACACUCCUUUGGACUCCAGCAGGCUCCACUGAGUAUCCCUGGUCGAGCUGGGGUCUUAAAGAUAGAGAUCAAGUGUGAAAUUACCGAAAUACCCAAGCUGCCACGUUUCUGCAUUGUGUACCGGUACAAGCUAAUGGCUGUACCGGUACAGCAAGCAAAAAAAGCUGGUUUUCGCCCGAGCAAUGCACUUUCUUGCUUCUAACCUUCCAAGCACUCUUUAACUUAUUCAAAAACUUGUCCAUGUCCUAUAAAACAUGUAGAAGAGUUCCACACAUCAUUCCUCGCACUCGAAUUUCGCAAUUUGCAAAAAUUCAGUGUAUUACACUACUCCCUCUCUAAAUUAAAUACCACAUCCUUAAACAGGGAAGAAGCUCAACAUGUCUCAGGUUAUUUGUCUUAUAUGGAUACAAUUGACAUGUAACUUACUUUCAUGCUUAAUGGAUUCCAAGGGCUCUAACAUUAAAAUCUGAAAGUUAAUCAUUUUUUAGAACCUUAAUAUGCAACAUCUAAACCAGGAACAAGCAUAAUCCAUCUCAGAUUUUACUCUAAUCAUUCAUUCAAAUGUACAUUUAUAUGCAUAUAUGCUGUCCCUGCAGAAUUUCUCAGCUCCAUACACUAUUAUACCCACUUUAGCAAUCUAGAACUCUUUCGAAGCAAACAAUAUGUAAGGUACCGGACUUCUAAAACUAUGAAGUUACGGUGUACAUUUAAAUGGUUCCGGUGAGGUUGCGGUGGAAUGUAACAUACCGGAUUUUGAGUAUAAAGGUGAAAAUAAAUAAAAAUAGUGUGAUAUACUAUUUUAUUGGGUUUGGAGAAGUGAAAUAUAAAUUGAAAAUAAUCUGUGCUGAAAUCGGAGCGAAAACAGAAGAUUUAGAAUUUUCUGUGAGAAACGGGACAAAUAAAUUAGCAGAAAAUGUAUAGUGUCAAAAAAUUAUGAAAACUGGAGGAUAUGUCAGAAAUAUUUUUAUGAGGCUAGAUUUAAAGUUUCAUACCAUUCUGACACCUGUAGAGUGAGAAAUAAAAUCCGACAGUUAUCUGAUUAAGAUUACAGUUCGGCACAGUUUUCGAUGACCAAACGGGGUUGAAACUGAAAACUUAAGAUAUAUUCUUACUCAGUACGUUAAACUGAGCCUGCCUGUCAAAUUUGAGAGCAAACGGAUGUUCAGAAGAGCUCCAACGACUCCGAACUGCUAAACUGCUGCCCGAGGUGAAUAGUGUAAAGUUGCGGGACAGAUUUGUAAAAAAAAGGAUUAAAUCCCUUUCUUCUUCUUCCUCCCAGCCGAACACAACCCGCACACACACACAACACACACGCAUGGAAAGGAAAAGAGAGAACUUUCCUUUCUCUCUCUAAAUCUCUCCCAAAAUCAAAGGAAUUGGUGGAGAUUGAAGUUUGGAGUUGAAUCGUCUUCAUCUUCUUCAUCUUCUCUAUGGUUUGGAGCUAAUUUUGAGGUGAGCUUCUUGAACCCUCUCAUGGUAGAUCUCUAGGAUUAGCUUUAUAUGCUCUAGAGAUGGAUUUAGUAGAAUGCUUAGAUGCUAAUUAGAGGUUUAUUGCUUGAUUCAUGAAGUUAAGUAGUGGAUUUAGCUAUAAUGGCAUCUAGGGCUUCAAAAAUGGCUUUUUUGCUAAUAGUAGGGUUUGAUCUCAUUUGACCAUCCGUAAACCUAAUUGUUAGGUAAACAAAUGCGUUGGCGAAGACGGUUCGACGAUUCGUCGAGCCGGUGCGAAGUUAUUAAAGAAACGGACGUUUAGGCUUCGUUUCCGCCUGGAGGGCUGAGGCGACGUCGUAAAAUCAUGGAAUCGGUUUGAGGCACCGUAACAACAAAAUGAAGACCCUCUUUGCCCGAGGAUGCGAAGCAAUGCGCGGUUGGUGCGCAAUUGCAAGUUCCGACGGAACCGAGCACCGGAUGCCGCGGGAGGCCGAUUGCAAGUGUCGACAAGCAAUCGGAAUGCACUAACAGGUGGGUUGUGCUUACCGAAGCGACUAGGUCGCCCUCAUGUCGAAGAAAAAUAUGAUUUCCUAGUUGAUGCAUAUAAUGGGUUAAAUGCUAUAUGAUGCAUGUGAUGUGAAGAUUGGGUAAAUGCAUAUAAUGUGAGAAAUGUAUAUUACAUGAUAAUUGCAUUGAAUAUAAUGCAUGUUAGUGGACAAUGGCAAAUUAAUAUAACAAAUGUUAGAGAGAUGCAUGAACUAAAUGUUAGAGAGAUGCGUGAAAAUGGUGUUGUAUGAAUGCAUAGGCUAUAUUAUGCAAGUUGGAACAUAUGCAUGUUAAUGUAUUUGUGGACUAUGUUGAGUAACAUAUGCUAAUUAACAUAUGCAUGUUGACUUGGGUCUAAAACUCUUGGAUGAUUAGAAAACUCGACAUUGGAAAUACAANUGUUUAACACAAUGACCCAGCCCAAACUGGGCAUUUUCGGGUGCUGGGACGGGUCCCAGGCAGUGAGAGACCGGUCCCCGAAAGGCCAGAAUUUCUGCAUUCCAGACUUAGCCAAAUUUUCAGCAUUUUCAGCCUUCGGGUCCGUUUUUUUCGCUCGUUUUCGCUCGUUUGACCUCCGAUUCGUUUCAAAUCGAACCGCGACUUUCCAAACAUGUUUUCGAACAUGUUUUCAUCAUCUUUUCAUCCAUGCCCUUGCUAGAUUUAGUCCAUGGUCCAUCAUAGCCUUUCAGGCUCCGUUUUCGCGCCCUACGCGCAUUGAAGCAACCGAAUGCUUCCGAACUUCACCGUAACCAUUCUAACGGCUUUCCAUGCUAACAUACACCAUAACUUCAUAAUUACAGAAGUUUGGUAUGUUACAUUCUCCAUCCCUUAAAAAGAGUUUCGUCCGCGAAACUCAGAUCCAAACCACAAUUCCUCUCAUCAAACAGAUGAGGACAAAUCCACGCACUACGGCUAGAGUGUCCUAGGAUUUCACUCUAUGCGUUCAUUUCGACGAUCAUCUAUCUACAGAACCACAUCGUUCUGUAAUGUCCUCUCUUCAUGAGUCCAGAAUGCACAUCACUUGGCUUUCCUAAGUCACUUUCUCAAGUAAUGGUGCAUUCCCCCAGUCUCGGCGGUAAUACUGGCUUACAAGUCACCGUAACCACACACUCCAAUCCUCAUAGGGUUCACUGUACCGAGAACUAACCUUUCCUCGACACGAACCCAAUCACCCCACAUGGGUGACACUGUCACCAAAUGUCAUAUCUAACCGCGAAUUCACGACUUCGCCGGCGCCUAACAGCACAAUUUAGCUAUCGCAAUUGUGCACGGUGAACCUUCUUCUCUUCCCAAUCCUAGAGCGACUCUUUCGCUCACCAUAUUCUAACGGAUAGGGACCGACCUACCCUUCCAGUGAAAGUCUCAAGUACCAUCGCCAUAUUAUUACUGGCACACUUUCCCAACCUCACAGUUAAGCACCUAGGCUUUAAACUCAUCUUGUCACCCUCGACUAACCAUCAUCCCGAGGAUGAAAUGCGGUACAUAAUUAGCAUACCGUUUACCUUUCAAAUUUCCACCAGUUCAAUUAAUAGUGCGAAUCGAUAUCCAACGAUUCACCAUAUUCCAAUACCAAUCCCGAUCGAUCACACGAGGGACUUAUUUCGCCUCAAUUGCCACACUAGCUCAACUCUUUUCGGUUGGCACAUUUCAACAUGGGCGCUCUUAAUUGCCUCUUACCAUUCAACCAAUCAUUGCCCGCACACUCUACUCGUCGGGCCAGGGUCGUCAUUAAUCACCCUCACUAAACGACGUCAACCGCCAGACACCACUCUCCUUCGAGAGCAAUACCACCUAUCGAUUCGAGUGGUUAACCGUCACUUCUCAUACAUACAGGUAGACCUCCUCGAUCCACACGAGAGUCCACCAAAUGGUAUUCUACCAUUAUCGCCACUCAAGAGUCUAUCUCGCCAAGUAUGACUCUUUAUUACAUCCACACUCUCCGGUGAACCUCACUCAGGUUCUUCAAUCUGCAUCACUUCACACGACAUUUAUAGUGCAUCGCUCAACCGCGGAUGCUCCAACCGCACAUGGACUUCGGCUCUACAGUGAGACGGCUCAUUUCGGCACAUCCACCAACUUUGGUUCCCUAAGAGCCCAGUCUUUCCAAACCUCACGUGGCUUAAACCACCCCAACGUCUAUUGGAGAACAUCUCCAUUUCUCUAUCACGUCCCAACAUCGCAUCACUUUCACGAUGAGUUCCCGCGAACACUUCGUUCGAGCAUCCAAUCUUAACUCACCGACAACGCCAGACUUGGCGAUCCCAACUUGCGAGCAGUAUGACCGAGCCUCCGCUCCAAUGGUCACUACGCUCAAACCACCAAGACCCUAUCGAUCAAUUAGAUCGCUUAUCUUAAUUACCACAGGUGGUCCAUAGACCAACCAUCCAACGUAGGCUUACCGCCAACCCGUCUCGAUACUAUGCAGCGUCUCUCAUUCGCAACGCAGACCCAAGCAUCACUUGGCGAAAGUCCUCAUUUGAGACUUCGCACACACUCCAAUCAGGAGACCUCAACCACUCCAUAUCUUUGGGUCAUAAUUACACUUACGACUCAUUAUAACGAGCCAUGUUCACCUCUAUUGGCAGUUAAACAUCUAAGCCCUCUCAAUUUUCAUAAUUAUAAACAGCCCUUACUGGGCCAUUCCUGCAGUCGAGGACCAGUCUCUCCCCGAUGCAACCGGUCUCACGGGGACCGGUCCCUCGCCGAAGAACUGGUUCCCGAGAGCUUGAUUUCCAGGACUUAGCCGAUUUUUCUCCUCUGUUCGGCUGCUGCGCGCACGGGGACCGGUCUCUCCCCGCAGGGACCGGUCCCCGAGAGCCCAAAUUCUGGAACUUCACCAGAAUUGCAGUUUCGCUCUCUCGGGUCCCCAUACACCAUAAGUAUAGGCUCCAAAGCACUCUUAGCCUACACCAACUCAUUCCAUUCCGCGUUCCGCUCGUUUCGACGGAACUCGGCACAACAUAUAGGGAUGUGAUACGCUACACUUGUACCUUAUACUUGAGCUCUUAUGCUUACGAUACACACGCAUGAAUUUUCCUCAGCAUUGUUGAGGUACCACUCGGCCACUCGCCAAAACUCGGCGAUUGCUCAACUAUCUCCACCACAACGGGGACGUUACAACCACCAGUCGAGCCCUGGGAACAUCACCCGAACUCUUGAACCGCAGGGUCAUCCUCAAGCAUCCCGACUUAACUCUCACAAUUUCGCUACUCACAUUGCCUAGAGAGUUAGUCCAUCAACUCCACCUCUAUCUCGAACUUAACUCUCGGCUCGCAACCGCCACUUGCCGGUCUAAUCCAAUCACACCUAUCCACUGGGUAGGCGAUAUCACUAUUACGCAUGCAUACCAGGGGAUUAAUUUUAUCCACAAUCUCUAUCUCAACUAUACUUAUGCAUGCAACAUUUCGAAUCCACCUUAGAUCCGGUCAUACAACCUCUUCCGACGCACCACUCCUGCUACAACACCCCCUGUAGCAGUGGAUUCCAUAACUAGGGUCGCUUGCUCAUAGCCACUUGACGCUCAUCGCGAACCCUCCGAUCGUAUCACCGAUCUUUCAUACUCUCCAGACCAAGCCGCAGGCGGCACACUCAUAAGCGACCUCAAAAACAGAGAUCGACGCCAUCACUAAGGUCCGGCUAUCCACCAACAGUACUCAACCCUUAUUCGGGUCGGUUGCCAACACCAACCACAUCAUCUACCCCGCAACACCCUAUGGCGUCUGGUAGGAACCACCACAACCAACACCUCCCUACAAGGUCAACAAAAGACCUCGGGAAUGAUAUCCACAACUUUCUCCGGGUCGCCAAAAAUUUGAUGGACCACCCGAUCCGUUCAUCAGUCGCGUCACUCAUCACUUCGCAUCCAACCGAUCUGCGCUCCUCUUGGGCACAACAACACCUCAAUUCGCUCCCACACGCACAAAUCCUCCAAAAAGAACUUCCACGGAGUCAUUCCACAUAUGUCCGUCCCGCGGAUAUCAUUCCGUCAAAAUAAGCGGAUCAACUUCCUUAGGAAACCAUCCACCGUUCUCAUGAGCCUCCAAUCCCUCUAUUCCUUGUGCAUUGCAGCCUCCUGCUGACAUUGCACCACAUCGGCUCGUCACUUUGCCACUACGACUAGUACGAUCAAUAGACUUCAGAGCCCCGAGUCUCCACUAUGCUCGGCUAACUCAUGAACAUCACUUGUCCCGGUCCACAACAAUCUCCUCAAAGAUCGGCCACGCGUAACCACCGAAUGCACAACAACUCAACCCUCAAGGUCAAGCACGCGACACCAACACGCAACACUAUCCACGACUCAAAUCCAGGCGAAAGUCAUGCAAGGCAGCCUAUUUUCAUUACUCGGUUUCGUGUUGUGUGCACCCAACACGAACACUCCAUAAUGAAAAUACACUACACCUUGGAUCCACCUCUAACAUCCGUUAUAGAGGCAUACCAAACACGACCCAAUUAGUUAACCUUUCGCCACAAUUUCAAAUCNUUACUCGGUUUCGUGUUGUGUGCACCCAACACGAACACUCCAUAAUGAAAAUACACUACACCUUGGAUCCACCUCUAACAUCCGUUAUAGAGGCAUACCAAACACGACCCAAUUAGUUAACCUUUCGCCACAAUUUCAAAUCCUUGUUACAUUUCAAGAACCUAAAGCCUUAUGGUUUCCAACCUAUGGUCCCUAAGUCCAUCCUAGACUUUUGCUUUCACUUGCUCUGACACCACUAUAUCUGUCACGCCCCGUGUCACGCCCCGCCCUGAAACCACUACCAAUUUGGCACGGCUCGGCCGCGGCGGCGGACCGCCGAACGGACAGCACCUCCCUUGUCCGCCCAAGGCUCAACGACAGGAAUGUGUACAAGAAUUGACACAGGACUUUAAAUUCUAAACAUACACAUUCAACGAGGGCACAAACAGUGCCAACAACAAGAAGAGCAAGUAAUCCACAAGAUAUACGAGUGAAAUAAAGAGAGUACUUUACUAACUAUUACAAUAGUUGCAUUCAUUACAUCAUUUUUUUCACCCAAAAUACAUAGCUCUCCAAAUCCUCACCUACAAUGCAUCUCUCUCUAUACAUAGGGGACUAAUGCAAAAAGGAAAGCUACUAUACUACCACGGUCUCACUGGUCGGGCGCGACGCCCUUGCCGCGGUCCUCUCUCUGCAGCCCUGAACCUACCACUGAAAAUAGAGUGGGGUGAGAACUAUCUUCCAUAGUUCCCAGUGUGCUCGGCCGCCGACUCUGCCGAUCUCCCCACUAGGUCCAAGUGGGCACAAGUAACAACAGAUAGAUAGAUAUGUAUCUGAAAGCUGUAAAUGCGGUAGUAGGAAAACUAUGCUACUAUGCCCAUAAUCAUGAAUAUGAAUGCAUGCAUCAUAUAAUAAAGGUUUGCUACCAUGCUAACAAUUUCGAUCCAUAUUCGAAUAGCAAUGUUCAAUGACAUUCAUAAACCUUUAGCCUUUUUCAUUUACCCAAUCUGUGGCGAGGCCCUAGGGCUCGCCCAUGACUCACCUUCAAAUCCCAAAGUGGGGAGGGAGCUCCAAGUGCACCCAAGCCCGGGACCGUCUGCGGACCUCCAUGUGGUCCGGACCUCCAAGUGGUCCUAGUCGCGCGACACUCCGGAGUACUCGACGACAAUCCCCUCCAUGUGGGGAUUGGAUGGCUAUACCAUCCUAAACGCAGACUGUGAGCUAGAUCUAUCCUCUCCAAGUGAGGAUACACUGUAACUAGGGUCAACACCCAAUCCAAUCCUCUCCAAGUGAGGAGGCUCUACAACUAGAGUCAAUAACCCAAUCGAAUCCUCUCCAAGUGAGGACGCCCUACACUAGGGUCAACGACUAUCGCGGAAUCAUCGGUUCCCGACAUUCAUGCAAUGCUAUUUAGUUUUCUAAAUUCAUUGUUCACAAGGCAUUUUCUAAGGGAUCCACCUAUCCCUAGGUCCAUCGACCUCUAGUGUUAUUUACACUACAUUAAUGCCACUCGUUAUCAUUCAAUGUUUGGAUGCCACUCGUUUGUUCUUUAACAAUAACACUACUUUCUAUGUCAUCAACACCCCCAUCGGGUUCAUCUCUAUCUUUAGCAUCAUAGGAUCCACCUUCCGACCCAAUCCUCACCUAUCUAGUUACCAAGCGUUCCAAGUACACUAGGUCAUCAAUUAGAAAGCAUAAGGAAUGGAGCUACUAUGCAAUCCUACAAUGCAACAUGAAGAGAUGAGAUUAAAUGCAAUCUAAGACAUAGAAAGGAGUUCGAAAGUUUCGGAUGACACCCCCCACCUUUAAUCGAUGUAGAGGUUUCGGAAAUCUCUCUCGGCGAGCUUUACGAAAAGGCUUUAGCCUUCCUCGCCCGAAUCAACACUAGCCUGGCCCGAUUUGCCGAGAACUUCACGUCGGUUCGCCGAAUGCCAAAAUCGACUUCGCCCCCGCGUUUUGGGACCUAUCAAUAGGGUUUCCAAGGCUUCAAAUGAGAUCAAUCUCAUACUUUUACAAAAACCCCAUUUUGAAGCCCUAGAUUUGCACCUAUAGCAAACCACCUAAUAAAUCCCUAGAUCCUUAGGAUUGAUCUAUUUAGAACCUUGCUUAGGUUCCAUUUGACCCAUUCCAAGGCAUAAAACCCAAAAACCCUAAGUUCUAGAAGCUAGGGUUGUAGCUUACCACUUGAGCUACACCAAUGGGAAGAGGAGAGGGAGAGGAAGAUGCUCCUAGCCUCCUUUUUCUUCUCCUCCUUCUUCUUCUUCUCCUCCUUCUUCUUCUUCUCUUUCUUCUUCUCCUUCUUUGUUAUCUCUAGAGAGAGAGAGAGCAAGAGAGCAAGAGAGAGAGUGAAAUGAGAGAGUGUGAGGGAGAGAGAGGGCUCAGCCCACUCAAAUAAAAGCCAUUUUGCACAAAAGCCCCUCAACUUUCACUCCUGCGUACUGCUCUCACUAGGCUAUUUUCGCGCGGAGGGACCGGUCUCCCCGACUUGGGACCGGUCCCCGAGGGCUUCCCUCGGGCGCACGCGUUCGGGAACCGGUCUCUCCUCGGGAGACCGGUCCUCACCUGGGAGACCGGUGCCCGAGAGCUCGAUUUUCAGGACUUAGCCAAUUUUUGGCAUCUCUCGCUGGAACCACGUUCGGGAACCGGUCCCUCCCUGCCAGGGACCGGUUGCAUCACGCAACCCCGCUACACCCAGCCAGGGGAACCGGUCUCUCACCUGCAGAGACCGGUCCCCGAGAGCAAUAUCAGCCCAAUGAUGCAAUUUGCCUCAUUUGCUCUCGCGGACUCAACUCCAAGGCACUUUUUGUGCUUUGAACAUUCCCAACUCCCACAAAGGGUAUACUCUCGACAAUUAGUCGAUCCUGGAUGAAGUACAAUCCUCACAUUUCGAGAAUUCACUUCCUUACACCCCGCGACCGCCAAUUUGGUCGGUUCGGGCACAUCAACAGACGCCGAACGGACAGCACCUCCCCUGUCCGCCCAAGGCUCCUACAGUACAUGUAUAACAUAGCAAUUCAAACAUAAUGAAUGCAAGUAUAUACGGCUUGCACGAGGGCAAGCAACAACCAAACAUAAGUGAGAGCAAUCUAACUAUUACAUUUAUACAUUGUAUCUUGAUCAUUUUCAAUCAAAUACAAAGCUCAUACAUUUCUUUACAUUCAUUCAUCUCAAUUUACAAUUUCACCUCUCAAAGGAACUUAAUACAUUUUCACAUGUCACAUGAAUUUAUUACAUUUACAUUUUACAUUUUACAUAAUCGACAUAAUAGAUGAAAUAUACAAAGGUGCCUCUAUACACAUAAAGGUAGCACACUACCUUGAGCACGAUAACCACGCCACGAGCCCCGAUCGUCCCGCUCGCGCUAGAACCUGCAUGGUUAGUGGGAUGAGAACUAGAAGAAGUUCCCAGUGGGUUCGGCCACCGACUGCGCCGAUUCGCCCACUAGGUCUAUUUCAGGCAUAUGUAUUUCAAUAAGGAAGGAUAACAAACCAACUAAUGCACUUCUAAUACAAUGCCUGCAAGAAAGCAAAUCACAGAUAGAUAUUCAUAUUCAAAUACAUGAUGAUUAUGCAUGCAUGUCCUUUUCACUUUCCUAUGGUCAACUCGGGGUGCUCCUGGUUUACCCCAACACACAGUCCACACACUUUCCUUUGGCCUUUACCCAAUCAACCAUGGGGUGCUCCUGGUUUACCCCAACUCACAGUCCACAUAUCCAUCUAACGGGGGAGGCACAAAGCACUACCACCCGAAGGAUCUUCGCCGGGCAUGUCGACCCGUGGUGUUUUCAUCACUCCGGAGUACACCGCCUGUGGAGGAGCGACCUCCCACAAGCCGGAACCAAUACAUGUGAGUAUGAUCCCCUCCUCAAUUUGAGGAGGUAUAGCCAAACCUGUCUCAAUGCCACAAUGCCGAUGAAAGGUCUUUACCUAUUCAUGCGUAUACUACCAUUUCCCAAUAUCACAAUGGUCCUGAUGCCACAAUAUCGAUGAUAGGUCUUUACCUAAUCAUGUAUGUCACUUUACUAAGCCACAAUAGUCACAAUGCAUAGAAUGGUCUUUACAACUUUAACCAUGAUGCCACAAUACCGAUGAUAGGUCUUUACCUAAUCAUGUAUGUCACUUUACUAAGCCAUAAUGUCCACUAAUGGGAUAGUCAAUAUUUCACAAUGCUUUAAGGUUUUACCUUAUCUAGCACAAUAUGUUCUCGGUGCCAAUCAUGUCACUAGAGUCAAUGUCGCCUUUAUUUACUAUGGAUCAAGUCUUUUCUCACUUUCACAUACAUAUAGGGUUGUUCAUUUUCUCGUUCUCAUGGCUCUACAACAUGUUUGCAAUGUUCAUAAACAGAUAAUUGAUAUAAUCAACAUUUAUCUCAUUACCCUACAUGCAUGAGUACAACAUUAUCAACAUGCUCAAAGAAGCGACAUAGACAUAGAAAGAGAUCCGGUGUUUCCGGAUAGCACCCCCCCACCUUGUAGGAAUGCCGAGAAGCCCCGAUUCCAUUUUCACGAUUUUUAGACACCAACGCCGCGAGCUGCGGCCAUCUGUACCAAUUUAGCUUGUUUCUUCAAUAUCUUCGUACCGGCUCGACGAAUCGACGAACCGAGCGCACCAACGUGUUCGUUGACCUAUCAAUUAGGUUAACAAGAGAUCAAACUUAAGUUAGAUCUCAACUUUACAAAAUUCCAUUUUCUAACCCCUAGGGUUUUCAUCUUUAUGAAAUAACCCCCAAGCACAUGGAAAUCCAUGUCUAAAUUUACCAUAGCUUCAUCUAGAAGCUAGAUCUAAAGAGAAAUACUCAAACCCUAACAUUAAAACCAUAGAACCCUCAAAUCUUAGGUUACUUAUCUUAGAUCCAAGCUUUCUUCCAAGCUAGGUUGCCAUGAGAGGGUUCCUUCAUCACCUAGCAAGCUUUUCUCCACCAUGGUUUCACCAUUGGAGCAUCUCAAGGAGGGAGAGGGAGAGAUCUAGAGAGAGAGAGAGCUCUCAUGUUGGUGUUGGAGAGAAAGAAAUGAGGGCUAAACCUCAUCUCUCCAACAUAUAACCUCAUCCAAACACAAUUGCACAUAACCCGCCACACCCCUCAAUGUUUAACACAAUAACCCAGCCCAAACUGGGCAUUUUCGGGUGCUGGGACCGGUCCCAGGCAGUGAGAGACCGGUCCCCGAAAGGCCAGAAAUUCUGCAUUCCAGACUUAGCCAAAUUUUCAGCAUUUUCAGCCUUCGGGUCCGUUUUUUUCGCUCGUUUUCGCUCGUUUGACCUCCGAUUCGUUUCAAAUCGAACCGAGACUCUCCAAACAUGUUUUCAAACAUGUUUUCAUCAUCUUUUCAUCCAUGCCCUUGCUAGAUUUAGUCCACGGUCCAUCAUAGCCUUUCAGGCUCCGUCUUCGCGCCCUACGUGCAUUGAAGCAACCGAAUGCUUCCGAACUUCACCGUAACCAUUCUAACGGCUUUCCAAGCUAACAUACACCAUAACUUCAUAAUUAUAGAAGUUCGGUAUGUUAUAGAAUGAAUGAAUGUAAUAACUUAGGAUGUGUUUAUGUUGUUUGAUACCUUCGUUAUGCAAUCGUUAUAUGUUGAAUACUGUUCCUGGUUGGAAUCUAUUGUAAUUGUAUUGAUUGCGACGCCUUAGACGUACAGGGGAAACUCUGUCCGUUCGGCGGUCUGUCGGCGUGCCGAACCUGACCAAAUAGGCGGGCUCGGGGCGUGACACAAUACUACUCAAAUUCGAAUUGGGCAUCAUUCUAACCCGAAUUCAGAGCUUCCCCAAGUUGCUCUCAGCUCAAUUCUCUUCUCCUCAGCUGAAAUUCUUUCUCGGCAACUCUACCAGGCCAAAAACAUCAAGUCUGCCAGCUCUAGCAGCAAGAAACACUUAUGUAGAUCAUCUCUAAGUCAAUUAACUUGACUAAAAUCAGAUAUUAACCAAGCUUACCUUAAUUAGAUGCUGUACCAAGUUGCUCUCAGCUUCUUAAACCUUCCUCUCAGCUCAAUUUGUCUGCACUUCUCCACUUUCUUCUUAACCUACUUACUUCUACGGUUGAGAAAGAAAGAAAGAGAGAAUUAGAUAAAGAAGAGAUAAAGAGAUAAUGAUCCCAACAUCUAAGCUGGUGCUGGGUACCUGGGGUUAAAAGAUAAGACCAAAAAAUCGCACUUUAACCCCCCAAAGGACUGAAGUUGCAUUGUAGUCCAGCAGUUCGCAGUUCAGUCCCUGCAGGUUCACAAAUCAGUCCCUGCAGGUUUACAGUUCAGUCCCUGCACUAACAGCAGCUGGCAGCAGCAGUUUUUAGCCCCUUUUGCGCAUCUAAUUUACUUCGAGUCCUUUCAAACACUUCCAAAAUACACUAAUAAACCUCCACAAGCUACUAAUUUAGCUCGGAAGCAACCAAUUCCAUUUUAGCAUUUAUCUUGAUAAUUUCACGCCCGACUUGCAUCAAACACUCAAUUACCUCCAGAAAUUAUUCCCAUACCUCCAAAAUCACUCGGGAAUGAUGCACAUCCAAUUCAAACUUCACUUUCAUCUUCCAAAGCAAAGUUAGCGUCGCAACUCAAAAUUUCAGUACACUACAAGGAUGGACCUAGGAGACCCUAGGUUGGCAACCUUAAGGCUAUAGGUGCGUGAGUGAGACGUGAACCUAUACCGGUGGCGGAAGUUGAUCGAUUGGGUCGAAGUUGAUAGUAUGUCUCUAAUGGUUGAUAGAGACGGAUUCGAGUGGUAUUAUUUCUCGACUCGAAGUGGUUGUGUUGGCGGCCGACAACAUGACGCUAAGAGUCUAGAAUAAUUACACUUGUGUGCUUCCGCCCGAUUUCGAUGUUGAGUUGUUUGUCUCGUAGUUGCAGGAAGUUAACGGGUUAAUGUGAUUCACCAAUUUGUUGCAUUUCAGGAGCUAUGGCACAGAGGGGACGCCCUAAGAUUAGAUCCACUCCGGCACCACCUCCCGAGGUACUGGAGUGGAUCUAGUCUCAGGAGCUAUGAUUACGCUAACUUUGCUCUGGAAGAUCAAAGUUAGCGUCGCAACUCAAAAUUUCAGUACAUUACAAUCUACCCCCGUUAACAAAAGUUUCAUCCGCGAAACUUAGAUACACUUAUAUAUCUCCAUUUAUCUAAUUAACCAGAUGAGAAUAGAUCUCAAUGUUCACCCAUAAUAGAACUAUACAAUUCUGUAAUUUUCUCAUUCUCACAUAUCCAGAGUGCACAAUCAUUCAUUCCAUCUAGUAACUCUGCAGCUCUUACUUUGAUACCCAUGAGGAGUUCUAUUCAACAAUUUGAAAUUCAUUACGCAUUUCCUUACAUACUUCACAUCUAAGGGCAAUUUCCUUAUGCUCACCAUCCCCUAACGAAUGGGGGUUAAUCCAAUCCUUUAGAUUUGGCACCAUAAUCUCAUAAUUUUUGGUAACCAGUUGUAUCAAUUAUCUUAAUAUAAUUACUCAUGCACGUCGAGAAUAUACCUUGUUCUUCCAACUAACUAUUAUAAGUUCUCUAAAUCCCAAUGGCAAUGCAAGUAAACAUUCAAUGACUUACUAUACUCCAGUCUCAUUUACUAUCAAAGACUUAUUUGCCUUGGUUACCACACUAAUUCAAUUCUCGCAUAAGUAAUAUGCUUUAGAAUUAGCAUUCUCCUCAUACAAUCAACAACUACCCGCACCAUCAACUUAACAUGCCCCUGUCAUCAUUCUUAUCAUCAAUAGAUGAUAACCAAUUCAUACCAAUAAGCAUUAUUUUACUUCAAAGAAUAGUACUAUCUGUUUUUCUCACGGUGGGGAUCAUUCCUGCAUGGCGCUUACUCGAAAAGUCCGUAGACUACCUUGAUUCAUAUACAAACUUAUCAGGUAACAUCUACUAUACCCAUUACUCUCUAAUGGAGUCUACUUUGAUUUCUCAACUGGCAUCGCUACCUGCGAUAUCGCAAUACACUGCUCAAUUGUGAGUGUUUAAUCACACACAAAUUUUCACUCCUCGACAAAGGGCUCAUUCUAACAUCUCCACAACUCCAAUGAUUUGAAGGCAUAAUCCUCCAAAAUCUCACGUGGCUUCCACUACACAAUAAUCUCAAAGAAAAUCUUUCACCACGAGUCUCUACGAACACCUCUUUCGUGCCAUUGAUCUUAAUUCUUCAUUAGCGUCUAACUUGGUGAUUCAAAAUAAGCAAACAGUAGGACCGAGCCUUCGCUCCCAAGGUCACUACUCCCGAUUCACAAUACUACAUUAACUCUCGCAUAUCGAGAGCAAUCGGUUAAAUUGCUUAUCUUAAUUAUCAUAAAUCGGUUCACAAACCACCGAUUCGCCGUAGGUCGAUUACCUAACUCAAUCGCGACAUUACAUAACGUCUCUUGCUCGCAAGCAUAGACCCAAUCAUCAUAAGACAAAGUCUCCCUUGAGACCUCGCACACAUACUCCAACUAGGAGCAAUCCAAAUUCCAAACCCCUACUAUUAUAUCGUUGGGUCAAACUUACACCUUCAGUGUAUCACUAACCACACGGUCCAAUAUGUGGCAUACCCCAUCACUGAUCUAAGCUCGGACUACCGUCCUGACCAUAACCUCUGCCCUACCCAUAGGUAUCGGGCUGCUGUCAUACAUAGUGGAUUGCGCCUGGUCAAAUGGCCUCAGGCCCCAAAGUCCACACAUGGUCCAGGUACGGAUCGUCCUCAAGUAAUAUCCUCAAUCGUCGUCGCUCACGAUAUGCUCAACAGAGCAAUCCACAUCACUAUUGGCUCCUAGACACCUAGUGCGAGCCACCAACCCAAUAAGUGAUCCAUGGCACGCUUCACACCUCGCAACGCUCAAGUGCUACUGCCAACACACUCUUGGCCGAUCCACAAUCCACACUCUACGAACGUUUAUACUCAAGCGUCCUAUACUACUACUCCUCUCACUAAACAUCACACGCUUGGCACUCCGCCUACGCCUACACAUACAAACACAAAUUUCCUCAUCCUAGUUAAGGUACAACUUGAUUAACUCGCCCAAAACCAGGCGAUCAUCUAACCAAUCUACAACAAGGACGCUAUCACUCUACUCGAUCUAUCGGAAUACCAUCCGAAUUCUCGAGCUCUAGAGCGUCUUCUAGCGUUCCAAUCUAAUUCUCACUAUCACCCAAAUGCUUUAAAGAGUAGGUUCACCAUUUCCAUCUUCAUCCCGAGCCCCAACAUUGGCUCACAGCAAACCACUCACUUGCACUAUCCAACCGCCUAUUCAAACGAUAGGCGAUACACUUUCUUCAUCUAUGCACGCUAGGGUAUUAUAUCUCCCCAAAUCCAAGUUACACUCUUACAUGUACCGCUCGGAGUUCGCAUCGUUUCCAAGUAUACAAUCUUCCUACUGAAGUCAAUUUACUAUAACUUCACUUAUCCAACAACACACGCGGCCUUGCUGGUGAAAGUUAUCACAACCAUUCCUCUCGAAGAAAAAGGUUAACCAUUAGACCUUUCCGAAUUCUAGGAUGACGACUGCAACUCUCUUCCGGGUAUUGCUUAACACUCGAUUGACCACCCGAACCAAAUAUAAGUCGCUUACCCUUCAUUCUCACUAAUCAAUUCGCACCCCUUCCGCGCGAGAUAUCACCUAACUUCAACCACAAGGUCCAACUCAAUACUUCAUCGAAAAUUGUGAAUUAGGAGAACGUAUAACUUCUUUUAUCAAAGUUUCGAUAUAUCACAACCGGCCUCGUUCCCAAUGUCUCACACUAUAUACUAAGCACACUUCAGCAUGCAGAAAAUCCUUCUACAUACUUUUUCACCGAGCAGUCCCCCUGCUAUAACUCUCACAACUUAUCUGAAAGCUCAUUUGUCGUAUAUUCCAACAGCAAAUUCUAUAUCCUAUCCCAGAUACACAAAUCUUUCUAGGGAAAUAUUCCUGAAGCCAAUCCACAGAUCUCGACCCGCGAAUAUUCCUUUAUCAAAAACAGAUGGACUAAAAUUUUCUGAAGGCCACAAGGGUUAUCCACAAUUGCCCUCAUCUGCUUUCUAUACUGCAAAGCCAGAAGUCGAUUUACCCAAUUUCCAACAAAACGACCUCUAUCAUCACUUCCAGCUACCCACAACAAACCACAAAUGGCGCGGUUAUCAACUACGCCACAGCCUUCUGGUGUCCCCUGACUCAAUUCGCCAAAUACAAUACUGCUUCCCACUAACAUUGCACUACAACUAUUCAUCGCCAAAACCCUACCACGGGUGUGACAAACCGAUCCCAAUGCCUUGAGUUUCCUCCAAGCUCGGUUAACUCAAGGAUUCCACUCAUACCGAACCACAUUGAUCUCAUUAGAGAUCAACUACACAAAACCACUAAACGUGCAACAACGCGACCAAUUCAUGACCUUCAAGGUCAAACACGAAACAACUAUCGUCAACCCAACUCAAAUCAGGUGAAAGUCAUACAAGGGAGCCUAUUCUCAUCACUCGGUCUCAUGUUGUGUGCACCCAACAUGAACACUCCCUGUUAAGAAUACACUUCACCUUGAAUCCACCUCUAAGAUCCUUUUUAGAGGUAUACAACACACGACCCAAUCAGUUCAACAUUUCGCCACAUAUCAAGAUUCUCGUCUCUCACGAACCUAGAUCCUUAAUGGUUUUCCAUCCUAAGGUCCUAGGUCCAUCCAAUACUUUCACUUGCCUUGCUCUGAUACCAUUUAAUCUGUCACGUCCCGAGAACGCCAAUUUGGUCGGGUCGGGUCCGCACACAGACGCCAGACGAACAGAACCUCCUCUGUUCGUCUAAGGUUCAGCAAUAACAAUUAAACAUGUGUAAUGAAAUGCCCGGAAAAAAAUUUCAAUAUACAUGGCUUGCACGAGGGCAAGCAACACAAGCAAGUGUAAGUAAACUAAUUAAAGCAUUCAUACAUUGUAUCUUGAUUACUUUAAAUCAAAUACAAAGCUCACAUAAUUAUUAUAUUCAUUCUUCCAAUACAUACAUUGCCAUCUUUUAAAUGAAUAAUUUACAUUUACUUUCAUCAACUAUAAAUAGAUGAAAUAAAUAAGGUACAACUAUACUCAAUGGAUGUCCACUAUCUAUGGAACGCUGUCCAUACCACGAUCCUCGAUCACCCCGCACGAACUAGAACCUGCAUGGUUAGUGGGGUGAGUACUACUGAAAGUUCCUAGUGGGUUUGGCUGCCGACCUCGCCGACUCACCCACUAGGUUUAUUCAGGCAUAUGUAGGCAAGAAAAGAGAAUAGAUAGUAACCAGUUAUAACAUGUAACUACUACAAUGCCUGCACAAAGCUGAAAGAAACAGUAGACAAUAACUGAAAUUGAUGCAUGCAUGCUACUAAUAACCUUUACCCAAUCCAACUGGUUAACCAUUUGGUUACCAAUAACUCACUAACUAAAUCCCAAGUAUCGGGGAGACGCAAGCUACAUUCUGACGGGAUCGUCUACUGGGGAAGACGCUAGCUCCUAAUCCAGUUAAUGACUACUCCGGAGCUCAUCGCCCAAGGAGGAGCGACCUUACCUUGGGCAUUAGACUAUUAUGAGUAUGAUCCAAUCCUCGCUUAGAGGAUACACUGACAAUGACACUCUUUAACUAGCUCUUUAUGCUAGAUUUACUUGUCCAACUCUAGAUGCUAAUCAGUUCAUCUAGUUCUAAUGCCACACAUUUUACAAGCUCAUUGACUUUGUUUAACAUUUAUAACACUGGGUGCCACUCAUGCAAUCUAUUCACAAUGUAUUUGUCACUAUUUAAUAGUCCAGUACAAGUUCAUACAUCUAUAGGGUUCUAUGUUUACUAGUCACUGUUCACAAGUAAUUGUAUUGUCAAGUAUACAAUUAGACCACAUGUAACAUAUGGAAACUUGGAGUUGCGAUGUCAACUUUGACCUAGAGGGUCAAAGUGAGGAUUGAGCUAGUUGGACAUCAUCCCCGAGUGAUUUGUGAUGCGUGUGAAUGAAUUCUGGAGAUAAAUAAGUGUUUCGGCGCAAAUUGGGCGCGAAACGAAAUAUAAAGAGAAUUUCGGAUUUCCGACGCUAAUUUUGAUUAAAAGAAUUAAAGUAAGGCGUGAGGAUAAAUUGUGGUAUCUCCGAAUCAAUUGUGAAGUUUCGGAAAAGCCAAGGGUGUGUUUUCAAAGGGUUUUGAAGUAUUCAGUGCGAAGUGGUAGUGCAAAAAGGAGAAAUUUCUGCCGUGUAAUGAAAUUGGAGCCGAUUCUAUUGCUAAUUCGGCUCAAAUAAUGUCAAAAUGAAAAGGAAUUGCUUCCAAAUUAAAUUGGUAGCUUAUGAAGGUCCCUUGGUAUAUUUUGGAAGUAUUUGGGUGAAAUCGGAGUGAAAACGGAAACUUUAGAAUUUUCUGUAAAGAACGGGACUGAGAAAAUUAGCAGAAAAUGCACAGUGUCAGAAAAUUAUGAAAAUUGGAAGAGAUGUCAGGAACAUUUUAAUGAGGCUAGAUUUGAAGUUUCAGAUUUUUCUGACACCUGUAGAGAGAGAAAUAUCAUUUGGAAGUUAUCUGAUAAAGAUUACAGUUUGGGACAGUUCGCAGUGACCAAACGGGGUCGAAACUGAAAUGUUAAAAUUUCAGUGGACUUGUUAAGUAAAAACGAACAUUCCUGUCAAAUUUGAGCUCAAUCGGACUUUAGGAAGAGCUUACGAAGGGUAUCUGAUCCAAGGUCGCUAAACGGAUAAGUCGAGGGGCAUUUUGGUAACUUGGACAGGUUUAGUGGAAUUCCACUAACCAGCCAGGUUCCCCUCCAUCCUUAUCCCCUCUGCCACCUCUCCAUUCUCUCUACGUAGAGAGAGAGAAGGAGGAAGGAAGAGAAGAAAAGAAAAGAGAGGAAGAAGAAGAAGAAGAGAAAAGAAAGAAGAUGAAAAGAGGUAAGUUUAACCUCUCCCUGCAUCUCUCUCCCUCUCAUCUCUCCCUGCUGCUACUGGUUGUAGCAGCAGUAGCUUCAGCAAUUAGCUCAGCAGCAGUAGUAGCUGCUGUCAACAGCAGCUUCAGCUGCUGUCAACAGCAGGCGCAGGAGCAACAGCAGCAGCAGUUAGCAACAGCAGCAGCAGUAAUAACAGCAGUUAGCAUCAGCAGCAGCUGCAAUAACAGCAGCAGCAGCAUCAGCAGCUUAGCCCUGCUGAGCUGAGUAGCAACAGCAGCUCAGCCUGCUGCUGAGCAGUCAGCAGCAGCAGGGCAAGCAGGCAGCAGCAGUAGCAGAAGCUGUCAACAGCAGCAGCAGCUUGCGCAAGCUGCUGAGCAGCAGCUUCAGCAGCUGCAGGAGCAGCAGCAGCUUAACAGCAGUAGCAGUAGCAGCAGCUUGCGCACAGCUGCUGUCAGCAGCAGCAGGAACAGCAUCAGCAGCAGCUGCUGCAGGGGAAAGAAGGAAAGGAAAGAAAGAAAGAAAGAAAGUAGAGAAAGAAAGAAAAGAAAGAAGGAAAAGAAAGGAAGAAAUCUGCAGGAAAGAAAGAAAGAAAGAAAGAGAAGAAAAAAAUGAAAGAAAGGAAAUGAAAUAGAGAGAAAAAUGAAAUCGAAGUCUUUGGGCAGAUUUCAUUAAUUAUUUUUGAGAUUCUUGGGCUAAAAAGAGUUGAAUUACUCUAGUGAAUUGUGAAAUUGCAUUGAAACGAGCUUCUAUAGAAAUUGACCCCGAUAAUGCACUUUUGCAGGAUAGAAGUUCUAAAGCGAAAUUGACCGCGUACAAACCUAAUUGGGGGUAAAAGAAACGCGCUGGCGAAGUCGGUUCGGCAAUCCGUCGCUCCUACGCGAAGAUAUCGCCAAAAGAAGAUUUUCGGCAUCGAUAGUCGCGAGCGCGGGUCGCGGUUCUCGGGAAAGCGCUAGAAGCGCAUUUCUCCCUUUCCGGCAUCAAAGAAAGGUGGGUUGUGCUUCACCGAAGUGAUUAGGUCACUUCCAUGCCAAAGUAAAUCAUAGUUUCAUUUGACGCAUAUAUGACGAUAACUGUCGGCAUAUGAAUGCUAAAUGCAUAUAAGUAGGCCUAUAUGAGUGUGUGGGCAUAUGUUAAUGCUAGAUGAUCCAUGUGAAUGUGAAUGCUAAAUGAAUAUGAAUAGGAAUAUGAAUAUGAAUAUGAGUAUGAAUAUGAAUGCCAUAUGAAUGCUAGAUGCACAUGGAUAUUGAACGCUAGAUACAUAUGAAUGAAAUUGUCGAAAUGUGAAUACAAAUGCUAAAGUAAACAUAAUUGUUGAUACAUGAUACAUGAAAGCUAGUGUUAAAGGCUUAUGAAUAUGAAUGUUUAACGUCUAUGUCUAAACAUAUAUGAAAGUGAAUGUAUUGAUAACCAUAUUAGAUGUAUAAUUGUUGAUACAUGAAAGCUAAUACUUGUGAAUAUGAAGGUUUGAUGCUUAUAUCCAAACACAUAUGAAAAUGAAUAUACUAUAAUUCAAGCUAUAUGAAUAUCGAUAAUUCUCGUUGAUUAGAAACCUCAACGGUAACAAGAUACAUGAGAACAUGUGAACUAUGAACCUAGGCAAGAACACCUAGGGUGAUGUAUAGAUCGAGUGGCAUGAGUUUAAGUUAUUAAACAUAAGAAACAUAAGUUGGACAUUAUAUCGACGGUGUGGAAUGAACCUAAGUUAUUAAACCUAGGUUGGACAUUGUAUAGAUCGAGUGGCAUGAACCUAGUGUUAUUGAACAUAGGUCGGACAUUAACCUAGCGUCAUUGGCCCUAGGUCAAGUAAGUUAACCUAGAGUUGAGAUCUAGGAGAAAGAAUAUUAAACCUAGUGUAAACGAACCUAGGUUAUGAUGUAAUGAAACACUCGAUAAAAAGUAAAUCAAGUUGUGAAUUAUAGUGGCAAUAGGACCACUAGAAAGUGAAUAGUAUAGACCUAAGAAGGUCGUCAACAUAGGGUCAGUGAGUAAACCCUUAAGUUGUGAAAUGGAUUCCGGAAUCCUUAGGAAUGGUGUGAUGGCAGAAAUAGAAUCUUAACUACGGGAUUGACGGUUCUCCUCUCCCGGUAGUGAUUCAACGGGAUUGACGGUUCUCCUCUCCCGGUAUGCCAUGAAACAAGUGAAGUGAAUCGAAACUACGGGAUCGACGGUUCUCCUCUCCCGGUAGUGAUUCAACGGGAUUGACGGUUCUCCUCUCCCGGAGCUAACGGGUUUGACGGUUCUCCUCGCCCGUUGAGCUUGAGCGACUUAGGGUCACGGGGAUCGACGGUUCUCCUCUCCCUGUGAUGGACCUAGUGUCGCGUGGACUUAAGGCUGAGGUGUUGUGAGACGUCCUUCACCUCGAGCCUGACUUGACGCGGUACUCCGCGGUUGAUUGACUCAAGACCGAGUCGAGUGGCUAGAUGGCUAAGGUAAAGUAACCUUAGGAAAGAAUCGCCAGUGAGUACAGUAAGAAUAAAGAAUAAAGCAUAAAGAAAAGAAUAAAGAAAAUAGCUAAUGAAUGAAACUAGCUAAGAAAGAAUAAAACGGCUACAAGUAAAGAAUGGCUAAUGAUAUAAAGUAGAAUCAAGUAAGCUACUUUCAUGAUUUACAGGUAUUGCAUAGUGCAUAGCAGCGAGGCAAGGUAUGGUUCUAUUUGUUGCAUCGUUAAAUAUCUAUCUAUCUAUUUGUUGAACUAACCUACUGUUGCCUCCUUUGGACCUGGUGGGUCGAGCUCUUCUCUUGGGUGGCCGUACCCACUGGGAACUAUAUUUAUAUAGUUCUCACCCCCGUGUUGUUUUGGGGGUACAGGUUACACGCGAGCGGCGCGGCGGCGCGAGGACAGGGCGUAGCUUCGUAGAUAGCGCCCCACCACUGAGACUGAGAUAGCAACACCCUGAAGAGGUCAAGUUCAGAGUUCAAAUGGAAAGAAACAAAAUUGUAGUAAUUUGUAUAAGUUUCAUAUUAACUUAAAAGCAUAUGUGGUUAUGUAAAUGUAAAAUAUUAUAAAUGUAAAAGAAUCUCUGAGAUGAAUACUUGUAAUAGCAUAGUUUGCACUUUAUGUUUUCGAUACAUAUGCAAUCUACAUACUUGCUACAGUUCCUGUUUGGAACCUCUUGUAUUGCAUUGUUUAGAUUGUUGACGCCUAGAACGUACAGGGGAGGCUCUGUCCGUUCGGCGGUCUGUCGACGAGCCCGAAUCCGACCAAAUAGGCGGAGCUCGGGGCGUGACACCACAUGUCAUAAUUAACCACACAUCAAGCUCGACCCUAUAACGCAUGAAUUUCAGCUAAACAUAUACAAUCCAUGUAUGCUCAAGAACGACGACAUAAACAUAAAAGGUCAUUCGAUGACUUCGGAAAGCACCACCCACCUUUAAAUAAUACCGGAAUGCGAGAAAUCCACUUCCCGCAAUUUAUGAACCAUCCCGAUCCUCGCUCGCGACAAACGAAGCUAAAAUGAGGUUUUCCUUAUUAGCGUGCCGUAGGCUCGUUGGAAUGUCAAUUUGAACUUCCGAGCGCGUCCACUAUUCCUUCAUAGAGGAAUAAAAGAGAUUAAGUUCAGGUCAUAUUUUCAUUUUUACAAACUUUGCAUUUUAACUCCAACUUGUAUAUAUGUAUAUAUUAUUAACAUAUACAUAUACCUAGUCUUACUAUUAAGCUUCCUAUCAAUUCUGUACUUUAGUAACUGAGAAUUAGGGACAAAUAAUACCAACUUCAAACAGGAUUUAGUGGGAUUUUAGCUCAGAUUUUGUCUCCCAACCACUAAUCCUAAGUAUACAUAUACAUAUACAUAUUACAUAGAGUUAGCUCCAUAGAGCCCCUAACACUUAGAAACUUCCACACUUAAGAAGUUCCUAUUUAACUUUUCUUCACAGCAGGGGGCAUCUUUCCAACCAAAAUUCAAGACCCAUUCACUGCAAAUUUUGCUCUAACCAUCCAUCAACAUGUAUAUGUAUAUAUAUGUAUGCAGUUUUAUAUAGUUUCCAAGGCUUCUAUAGCACUUAUACAUGUUAGUAACUAAGAAUUCACAGCCUAAAUCACCAAGAACUCACAGCCUACUCCCUCUCUAAAUUAAAUACCACAACCUUAAACAGGGAAGAAGCUCAACAUGUCUCAGGUUACUUGUCUUAUAUGGAUACAAUUGACAUGUAACUUACCUUCAUGCUUAAUGGAUUCCAAGGGCUCUAACAUUAAAAUCUGUAAGUCAAUCAUUUUUAGAACCUUAAUAUGCAACAUCUAAACCAGGAACAAGCAUAAUCCAUCUCAGAUUUUACUCUAAUCAUUCAUUCAAAUGUACAUUUAUAUGCAUAUAUGCUGUCCCUGCAGAAUUUCUCAGCUCCAUACACAAUUAUACCCACUUUAACAAUCUAGAACUCUUUCAAAGCAAACAAUACUACUCAAAUUUGAAUUGGGCAUCAUUCUAACCUGAAUUCAGAGCUUCCCCAAGUUACUCUCAGCUCAAUUCUCUUCUCCUCAGCUGAAAUUCUUGCUCGGCAACUCUACCAGGCCAAAAACAUCAAGUCUGCAAGCUCUAGCAGCAAGAAACAAUUAUGUAGAUCAUCUCUAAGUCAAUUAACUUGACUAAAAUCAGAUAUUAACCAAGCUUACCUUAAUUAGAUGCUGUACCAAGUUGCUCUUAGCUUCUGAAACCUUCCUUUCAGCUCAAUUUGCCAAAAAAAACUGCACUUCUCCACUUUCUUCUUUACCUACUUACUUCUACAGUUGAGAAAGAAAGAGAGGGAGAAUUAGAUAAAGAAGAGAUGAAGAUAAUGAUCCCAACAUCUAAGCAGGUGCUGGGUACCUGGGGUUAAAAGAUAAGACCAAAAAAUCGCACUUUAACCCCCCAAAGGACUGAAGUUGCAUUGUAGUCCAGCAGUUCGCAGUUCAGUCCCUGCAGGUUCACAAAUCAGUCCCUGCAGGUUUACAGUUCAGUCCCUGCACUAACAGCAGCUGGCAGUAGCAGUUUUUAGCCCCCUUUGCGCAUCUAAUUUACUUCGAGUCCAUUCAAACACUUCCAAAACACAUUAAUAAACCUCCACAAGCUACUAAUUUAGCUCGAAAGCAACCAAUUCCAUUUUAGCAUUUAUCUUGAUCAUUUCACGCCCGACUUGCAUCAAAUACUCAAUUACCUUCAGAAAUCAUUUCCACACUUCCAAAAUCACUCGGGAAUGAUGCACAUCCAAUUCAAACUUCACUUUGAUCUUCCAGAGCAAAGUUAGCGUCGCAACUCAAAAUUUCAGUACAUUACAAGGAUGGACCUAGGAGACCCUAGGUUGGCAACCUUAAGGCUAUAGGUGCGUGAGUAAGACGUGAACCUAUACCGGUGGCGGAAGUUGAUCGAUUGGGUCGAAGUUGAUAGUAUGUCUCUAAUGGUUGAUAAAGACGGAUUCGAGUGGUAUUAUUUCUCGACUCGAAGUGGUUGUGUUGGCUGCCGACAACAUGACGCUAAGAGUCUAGAAUGAUUACCCUUGUGUGCUUCCGCCCGAUUUCGAUGUUGAGUUGUUUGUCUCGUAGUUGCAGGAAGUUAACGGGUUAAUGUGAUUAACCAAUUUGUUGCAUUUCAGGAGCUAUGGCACCGAGGGGACGCCCUAAGACUAGAUCCACUCCGGCACCACCUCUCGAGUUGCCCGAGCAGUCGGGAUCUGGUGAAGUGCGGGAGUUACGAGCGCAGAUCGCUAAGAUGGUUGGCGCAAUGCAGCACCAAGAGGAUCAAAUAGCAAGGCUGCAGGAACUGGUGGCAUAGCAGGCUUCAGCCUAGGGGGAUGUUGAGCGGCCCACGCCUCCAGUGGUUGCGCCCAUCGUGACAGAGGGUGUGGCAACGGCGGCCGUGCCGGUUGCAGCGAGACCCGCCCCGGCUAUGGUAGCUACUGGUUUGGGGACUUCAAACCCCGAAGAUGCGGCUAUGGCGGCGGAGAGGGAGCACGCACUAGCGGCCCUUGUGAUGUUCCGAAAAUUCGAUCCGCCAGUAUUUGACGGGGAGAAGGUCGAGCCUUGGAUGGUCGAGUCAUGGGUAGACUCGAUGGAGACCUUGUUUGAGGACCUCUACACGUUAGAGAGGGACAAAGUGCACCUCGCCACACGUUGUUUGGAGCGGAAGGCGAAAGUGUGGUGGAAGUGGAUUAAGCGGGAUCGGUCUUCCGACCUUCCGCCGUUGACGUGGGAGGAAUUUCAGGGUUUGCUAUUUACUAAUUACUUCCCCGAUAGUGAGAAGAAAAAGCUCCAGGAGCAGUUCAGAAAGUUGAAGCAGGGUAACCGCUCGGUAGGGGAGUAUGAGCGGGAGUUCUCACACAUUAUAAACUGCGUCCCCGACGUAGUGCGGGACGACAGGGAUCGAGCGGAUUGGUUCGAGCGAGGACUCCGGCCGGAUAUCUAUAGGGCGGUUCACAUUCUUAAGCUCACUUCCUUUGCGAAGAUGUUAGAUCGGGCGUUGUGGGCGGAGCAGGGUAAUGCCCACGUCCGUGAGGAGCGCGAAGCAUUCGAGAGGGACGGUGGAAAGAAGCGGGCUCAAAGUGGCUCGAGAGCUCAGUCAAAGUCAAGAAAGUCCCCGAAGUACCCGCGAACUCAGUCCAAGGGCCGUAGACCUCAGCGGUGUGCUAUUUGUGGUGGAAAUCAUGUACCAAGGGCUUGCGGGAAGCGGGAAGGAAAGUGCUUCACUUGCGGUCAGGCGGGACAUAUCAGUUGAUACUGUCCGUUGAGGGCUUUGCCCACCCCGUCUGUGGCAUUGGCUCCGACGACUCCAGAAUAUUAUGGAGGAGCCCCACCUACUGCUGUAUCUGCCGGACGUGCUAUGGCGCCGUGUCAGCCCGAGGUGACGCGAUCGGCUCUAAGCGGAUGGGUAUUCGCCGCUCAAGCCGAGGAACCUACCGAGGCCAAGGAGCGCUAUGUGGUGGCAGGUAUGGUUUUAAUUAACGGAGUUCGCUUCAGGGCUAUGUUUGAUACAGGUGCUACACAUUCAUUUAUUAGUAGACCGUUCGCUGAGAUGCAUGGCAUAGAAGUCCAGUUGAGUGAUAGCACUUGGUGAGUAGAGGGCCCCGGGCGUGCAUUUGUCUUUAGGAAAGAGUGCUUGGCUUGUCCGGUGCAGUUGAGCAACUGGAUUAUGCCGACACGGAUGUUAGUGCUCAAGAAGUUGAAGGACUUCGACAUCAUAUUGGGCAUGAACUGGCUCUCGAGAUACUAUGCGUCUAUCGACUGCAAGAACAAGGUGAUAACGUUUUGUGAGCCAGGACAGGAGGAGUUUGCUUAUCGGGCGUGCAAGAGCUCGUGCUUCGCCGCGACGGUGUCGGUGCCGAGGGUGAGGAAAUUGGUUAACAGCAGUUGCGUGGCUUUUUUGGCGACCGUUGUGGAGGUCGAGAGGGUGCCUCCGGCGCUCGAGGAUUUGUUCGUGGUCCGGGAGUUUUCGGAUGUAUUUCUCGCGGAGUUACCCGGGAUACCACCGGAUCGGGAGAUCGAGUUUGUGAUAGACUUGGUUCCCGGGACCGCGCCGAUCUCGAAGGCUCCAUAUCGUAUAGUACUGGCAGAACUAAAGGAGUUGAGGGAUCAGUUGCAGGAUCUCCUUGAUAAGGAAUUCGUCAGGCCGAGUGUAUCGCUGUGGGGAGCCACGGUAUUGUUUGUGCGAAAGAAGGAUGGAUCGUUUCGACUUUGCGUAGAUUAUCGCGAGUUGAACAAGGUUACUAUCAAGAACAAGUACCCGUUGCCCCGAAUCGAUGACUUGUUUGAUCAGUUGCAAGGGUCUCGAGUGUACUCCAAGGUAGACCUCCAGUCCGGUUAUCACCAGUUGAAGAUAAAGCCGGAGGAUGUGCAGAAGACCGCGUUCCGUACGCGGUAUGGACACUAUGAGUUCACCGUUAUGCCGUUGGGCUCACCAACACCCCGGCGACGUUUAUGGAUUUGAUGAACCGUGUCUUCAAGGCGUAUUUGGACCGAUUUGUCGUGGUCUUCAUUGACGACAUCUUGGUCUACUCUCGUAGAGACGAGGAGCAUGCCGAGCAUUUGAGGUUGGUGCUUCAAGUCCUUCGGGAGGAGAAGCUAUAUGCAAGGUUGAAGAAAUGUUACUUUUGGCUCCGAGAAGUUGCAUUUCUAGGGCAUGUUAUUUCCGAGGGUGGAGUUUCAGUUGACCCAAGAAAAGUUGAUACGAUCAAGGAUUGGCCUCGCCCAACGAAUGUCACGGAGGUCCGAAGCUUUGUGGGCUUAGGGGGCUAUUAUAGACAGUUCGUAGAGGGUUUCUCGAAGAUAGUUAUUCCGCUCACCCGUUUGACUCAGAAGGGCACCAAGUUUAUUUGGAGCGUCGAGUGCGACCGGUGUUUUGGAGAGUUGAAGGAAUGAUUAACUUCGACUCCGGUGCUCGCCCUACCGGUGCAGGAUGAAGACUUUGUGGUGUAUAGCGACGCGUCCUAUUUGGGUUUGGGGUGUGUUCUAAUGCAAGGCGGGAAGGUGAUCGCGUAUGCAUCCCGUCAGUUGAAGAGCUACGAGAAGAACUACCCUAUCCAUGACUUGGAGUUAGCUGCGGUGGUAUUUGCUCUUAAGUUGUGGAGGCACUAUUUGUAUGGCGCGCAUUGUGAGGUAUAUACUGACCACAAAAGUCUAAAAUAUUUGUUUACACAGAAGGAGCUCAAUAUGCGGCAACGGCGGUGGUUGGAGCUGUUAAAGGAUUAUAAUGUCACAAUCCUCUACCACCUCGGGAAGGCGAAUAUAGUCGCGGAUGCGCUUAGCAGGAAGUCGGUAGAGAACCUCGCGUUGUGGGUCACAAACCAAAAGCCCUUGCGGAAAGAAAUAGGACGAAUGGAUCUUGAGGUAGUAGCUCCAGAGGUUACGACUAUGCUAUCUACUCUCGUUGUCCAACCGACCUUGUUGGAGAGAAUAAAAAAUCUGCAACCUGCGGAUCUGAAUCUCCAAAAGGUACGGCACGACAUUGAGGGUGGGCGUGGUGGCUAUUUUAGUAUAGACGCCGGCGGUGUGCUUCGAUAUCGAGACCUGUGGUGUGUACCGGAAACUGAAGAAGUCUGCAAGUUGAUUCUGCAAAAGGCACAUUGGUCUCCCUAUCGCGACCACCCGAGCGGCACCAAGAUGUAUCAUGAUUUGAAGAUGCUCUAUUGGUGGCCGGGAAUGAAAGGUGAUGUUGGGCGCUUUGUGGCGCAAUGCCUAGUAUGUCAACAGGUGAAGACGGAGCGCUGGUUUCCAGUGGGAAAGCUUCAAAGCCUACCUAUUCCCGUUUGGAAAUGGGAAGAUAUAUGUCACGUCCCGCUAUCGCCAAUUUGGUCGAUCCGGGCCCGUACACAGACGUCGAACGGACAGCACCUCCCCUGUCUGCCCAAGGCUCAACAAUUAUAGCUACAUGUAUAAAGUAAGAAAUAAUCCCAGGAGAAUAUUUCAAUAUACAUGGCUUGCACGAGAGCAAGCAACAAGCACAAGUGAAAGCAACUAACUAUACAUAAAAUUCACUGUAAUUUAAAACUUUUAAAACUGAACUAUACAUAACUGAAUAACUGAAACAUUUAGUUAUUUACAUGCUCUCUUAUACAUUCAUUUACAAGUCUCUGUUCAUCAUUAUGUACAAUAUGAAACCAAACGUGUCACGCCCCGCGACUGCCCGCCUAUUUGGCCGGGUCGCGGCGCCGCCAACAGAUCGCCGAACGGACAGGGUUUCCCCUGUACUGCGGACAGAGUCUCCCCUGUACGUUCAAGGCAUAGCAAUCAAUACAAUGUGCGAAGUUCCAACCAGGAACACAUUUCAAUCAAGAUUGCAUAAUGGAAGGUAUCAAACAACAUAAACACAUCCUAUAUUAUUACAUUCAUUCACAUUAGAUUCAUUUUACAUCACAAUUACAUAAUACAUUCUUUUUAGCUUCCAAAUACAAUCUAGCUUUAACAAUAUUAUUACAACUUGAUUCUUUUCAUUUUCUUGCAUCCCUAAGUAGGGCCGACUCAGGGUACCGCUAUCUCUGGUCUCGAUGGUAAGGUGCUAACUAUGGAGCUACGCCCUCGCCUCGCGCCGCCGCGCCGCUCACGUGUGAACCUGUAAACACCCCAAAACAACGUGGGGUGAGAACCAACUUCAUGGUUCCCAGUGGGUACGGCCACCCAAGGGAAAAGCUCGACCAAUAGGUCCAAGGGAGGCAACUGCAAGUUAGUUCAAUAAACAGAUAGAUAUAUAUCUUGAUUAUGCAACGAAUAAAACCAUGCAUUGCCUCACGAAUGCAAUAAUGUAAUGCUAUAUGCAAAUCAUGCAAUAAUGCAACUAUGCAACCAACUAGUAGUUCAUUCGAUACUACUUUCAAUUCUGCUAACCAUAGCUCAUCCGUUUGAUAUCUAAGGUUUCCUUUAUCAUAGAUUCUUGUCAAUCACCGUUUUAAUCAUAAAGUUCCAUCUACCUUUACAAGGCUAACCACCCGACUCGGUCUUGAGUCAAUCGUCUGCGGAGUACCGCACUAGAACCAGGCUCGAGGCGAUGGACGUCUCACAUACACCUCAGCCCUAGAUCCUCUCGACUAGGAUACCAAAUCCAUAACUCAUAAUGCAUACUUGUUGUACACUCAUUUGGCUAUGACCCAAUCUUACCGGUUAACCAUGUUAACCCCAAUAACUCACAACCAAAUCCCUUAAUAACGGGGGACUCGAACCUCCCUAGGGACCGUCAACUGGUGGGACUUUACCACGCCCAGUGGUGACCAACUCCGGAGCGCACCGCCCGAGGGGGAGCUACCUCCCUCAAGCCAAGACUUAUCGUGAGUGUCGAUCCAAUCCUCAACUUGAGGAUACAUAGCCACUAGUCACAAUGCCAAUGUCACAAUAGGUUUCUACCUAUUUAAUCAUGCCACUCUAUGUCAACUUGGACCAAUGUCAAUAUGGUUAAACUAUGUUUAACAAUCACUUUCUUGAUGCCAAUCAUGUCUCUAUUGUCAUUGUCACCCUUGUUUACUAAUGUUCAAGUCCAACUCUCACAUUUACACAAUAAUAGGGUCCUAACAUACAUGAAUGACACCAGAAUAUAUAUGAUCAAUCACCACAAGUGUUUGCUAGGUUCAAGAUGCUAGGUUUAAUGCCACUCGAUCUAAUAUAUAUAUAGAUUGUCCACUAUGUUCCACAACAUGGCAAUAUGUCAUCAAGUAUGUUUUUCUAUUUAACAUAAUCCACAAUAUGUAAAUUCAUAAUAUAUCAUCAUGCACAUAUACCACUAGCAUCACAUGAUUUGUCAACAUACAUAUAGUCAUUAUCCAAAAUAGUCCAUACUUAGCAUCUCAUGCAUUCUUUUAGCACUUAAUUCAUUAUGCAUUACAUUUAGCAUAUUCUACAACAUGUCAUCAUACAUUCCUUUUAUGAUGUUCUUAUAAUGCUAACAUUCAUACGCCCUUUAUAUUAUGCAUUCAAAGCAUUAAUCAUAUGCAUUUAUCUAGCAUUUCUAUAGUAUGUUAACAUGCAUUCUUUUCACAUUCUUAUAUUAUGUCAAUAUGCAUCAAUAUGAAAUCUCAUUUCUUAGACAUAAAGGGCGACCUAGUCGCUUCGGUAAGCACAACCCACCUCAUUUCGCAUUCCGAUUGCUUGUCGACACUUGCAAUCGGCCUCCCGCGGCACCCGGCACCCGGUUUGGCCCGAUCUCUCACGCGACCACCCGAACGGCCUCCAAUUCACGAUCCGAAAAUUAAAGGUCUUCGGUUAUGUGCCACGAUGCUUCAAAUCCAUUUUCAUGAAUUUACGAUAUCGCCUCGGCCCUCCCGGCGGACCCGAAGCCUAAACGUCCAUUUCUUUAAUAACUUUGUAACGGCUCGUCGGAUUGCCGAACCGUCUUCGCCAACGCGUUCGUUUACCUAGCAAUUUGGUUUACGGAGGGUCAAAUGAGAUCAAACCCAUACAUUUUACAAAACCCCAUUCGGAGCCCUAACAUGCAAUUAACCUCUAAAUAAUCCAAAUUAAAUAGAGCAAACAUGUUUAGAAUGCUCAUUAGAGGCUAUUAGAACACUUAAAACUAAGGAUUAAGCCAAAUCCCAAAAGCUUACCUCAAUGUGAACGCCGCGACGAAAAUACGCCGCUCCAACGGGCGCACGAAAGCUCGAUCCGUCGCCUCCAACGCGUUCGCAAGCAUCUUCUCCACCAACCCUCCAAUUUUUAGAGAGAGAUUUAGAGAGAUGAGAGAGAUCUCUAGAGAGAGAAGGGAGGGUUUCCCUCCCCCUCCAUGCGCGUGUGUGUGUGUGGGGUGUGUGCGGCUGAAGGAGAAGAAGAGGAGUCAACACUCCUCUUUAGUCAACCCCACGACACUAUUCACUCCCGGGCAGCUUGAAAUCUGAUAACUUUCGCCGGAGCUCCCUGAAUGUCCGUUUGAGCUCAAACUUGACAGUCAUGUUCGGUUUUACUUAACUUAACAAGCUGACGAUCGCUGGUUCAGUUUCGACCCCGUUUGGUCACUGAAAACUGUACCGAACUGUAAUCUUUAUCAGAUAGCUGUCGGAUUUUAUUUCUCACUCUACGGGUGUCAGAAAAAUAUGAAACUUUAAAUCUAGCCUCAUAAAAAUAUUUCUGACUUAUCCUCCAAUUUUCAUAAUUUUCUGAGACUGUGCAUUUUCUGCUAAUUUAUCUGUCCCGUUUCCAACAGAAAAUUCUAGAUCUUCUGUUUUCAUUCCGAUUUCAGCACAAGUCACUUCUGACUUAUGUUUUACUUCUACAAAUCCAAUAAAAAUAGUUUCUCACACUAUUUUUAUUUAUUUUUAUUUUUAUACCAAAAUCUGGUAUGUUACAUUCUCCACCCCUUAAAAGAAUUUCGUCCGCGAAAUUCAAACCACGCCUCAAUUCAGCUCCGCGAGCAAUUGAGGGUACCAACUCAUUCUCCCACUCCAGAGCGGCUUCACACUAUCGUGGUUCCAGAAGCGGCUCAUACUGAAGGACGUGGGUUUAAUCCUAAACUCAUUUGCAAAGUGUGAUACAAACGUGCAUCACGGGUCUUGCAAGUCAUAGUGGCAGCGCAAGUCGGUACUCGACGACUCUACGCGCUCCAACACCACUCGCCACUCGGUACACAAAGAACUCUUCUUUGCACUGGCCUUCCCUUUUGGGAAUACAUUCCAAUUCGAUCACCGACAUUGCUUAGAAGCAAUAUCACCGGUGCAUCGCUCCGUCGUGAGUGCUCUAAUUUCGCACUGACCCUUAACUUUAACGCGAGAUGGCCCACUUCGGCACAUCUCAAGUCUCAGUUCGCUUACGAGCAUAGUCUCCAACAUCACGUGGCUUUCCACUAGAUUGAUGUCUCACAAGGAGUACUUCAUCAUCUGAUACCACAUGCCACGAUCAACAUCAAACUAUUUUCGCAACGAGCUCACGCGAGCACUCCGUUCGUGAAUUCGAGUCAAACUCCUCGAUAAGGCUAUCUGCCAAAUCGCUCUCUUCGGUCUCCACAGGUGGACCAAAGGCCACCAAUCCUACGUAGGCCUACCGCCUAAACCUGUCUCAAUACGCAGCGUCUCUCGCUCGCAAAUGCAGACCCAAUCAUGAUCGGGCGAAAUUCUCACUUGGGAAUUCGCACACACUCCAACCAGGAGCAACUAAGACCCCAAACCACGUCAAGUCCUCGGGUUGGGUCACAACCAUACUCGGUGUACCAUCGGUCACACAAUCUAUCACGUGGCAUUCCACGCUCCCGGGCCUAAACUCGGACUACCGUCCUGACCAGAACUCUGCCCUACCCGUAGGUACCGGGCCGCUGUCACUCACAGCUGACUGCGCCUGCCCAAUGGGCCCAGGCUCCACAGUCCACAAAUGGUCCAGGCACGGGUCGUCCCCAAGCACUACCCGCCGUCGUCGUCCUACACGACAUACUCUACCGAGUCACACGUACCAAUAUCGGUUCCUAUGCACCUAGUGCGAGUCACCAGUCCCACGAGUGAUCCAUGGCACGCUUCGCACCUAGCAAUGCUCAAGUGCUACUGCCAUUACACUCUCUCGGCUGAAUUCACAUCCGCACUUUACGGGUAUCUACACUCGAGCGCUCUACGCCUCUACAGCGUUCCACAGUAAGUCCAGCAUUAGGCAAUCUUGCCUAUGCACACCGAUCGCACGAGCACAAUCGCCUACCUCACCUUGAGGUACUACUAGGCCCACGUGCUCAAACUUGGCCACUAAUCGACCGUUCUCUCAACAGUGAUGCUACUUUCACUGUUCGAUCUACCGGAAUGACAUCCAAAAUUUUCGGACUACUCGGGUGCCCAUAGGCAUUAUGGCUCGACUCUCGCAAUUUACUACUCAUAUUGCUCUGAGAGUCAUUUCGACACUUCUAUCUCUACCGCGAGUCUCAUUUCUCGCCAUAGAUUACUUCUAGCACUUCGCUAGUGCCAUCUGGCUUUAUACCUGUACUGGCAGGUACUACGCCCUCACAUAAUACAAAACGCCAUUUCUAGAGCAAUCAAGUCUAUCUCUAGAAAUUCACCAUGAGAGAGAGCUUAGAAGCUUACCUCUCCAAGAAGCUCCAACCAAGGAGAAGAUGAAGAAGAUGAGGAAGUCCUCUUUCUUCUUCUUUUUCUUCCCUUUUCUUUCUUCUUCCUCAUCUUGUCUACUAGAGAGAGAAAGAGAGAUAUGAGAGGGUGUGUGGGUGAGAAAUAAGAGAAAAGAGCUCUCAUACCCCUCACAUAGCCCCACAUGUUGCAUAAGUACAACCAAGCCCCUCAACUUUUACUCUUUUACACUGCCUUGACUGGGCCAUUUUCGUGUUCGGGGACCGGUCUCCCCGACGAGGGACCGGUCUCCGAGAGCUUCUCCCCGCAGUCAGCAGAGCUCACGCCCGAUGCAUCCGGUCUCUCUUUGGGGGACCGGUCUCUCAGGGACCGGUCUCUCCAGCAGGGACCGGUCUCCGAGAGCUGUCCACCAAGGACUUAGCCGAUUUUUCUCUCCUCUUGCUGCCUGCGCGUUCGGGGACCGGUCUCUCCACCAAGGACCGGUCCCGCGAGCAAGCCCACAAGCUGCAAGUCUUGCAGAUUUUGAUUUCCAAAGCUCUGAAGUCCCCAAUAAUGCAACUUUUCGCAUUAUUUGACGCCCUUCGCCUUUUCCAAAGCGACCAACCUCAUACUUGUCAAUUUUGCUAAGUUCGAUACUUGGUUAUCGACAGUCUCAGGUAUAUUACAUACCACUGAACAACAGCCAAUCUUUGACGAAGGGUUCAAUUUCUCGGACUCUCGAGAUUACUGUCGUUACACACGCUGUACCGACUACACCCCUAGUGUUCAAACCCGGUAACACAUGUUCCAAGAAUUCAGUUUGCAUCGCUUCGACCUACGAUUCGUUGCGGAGCAUCGCUAAACCUUCUAACUCUUUUAGAACUCAAUUCUAACCUUCCACAUUGUUAGAAUGUCAAUUGGACUUUGUCCAAUACUUCUCUCGACGCCACUUUGGUCAUUUGACCAAAAGUGACUAACCGACGAGAUUCGUAACUUCUCAAAGGUCACAAGGCGCCGCAAAGCUCUUUGUGAAGUUCCAAGUCUCCGUCGCCUCAAAUUUGCAGGCCAACACCACUUGAGCCAUCCCGCCGCCAACUAAGAAGAUCGCCUCGCGGUGGUUAUCGCUUCUAAAACAGCGACAAAUCUAUUAAUCCUCGACCAUUCUAGGUCGACAACACAGAACACUUUAAUACCGACUCAAAUCGGGCGAAAGUCACGCAGGAUCGUCUAUUCUCUUACGCCGGUUUGUGUAUGCAUCCAACAAUGAACACUCGGUUGCGAAUAACCACCCUUAAACUACCUCUAAACUAUCUGUUUUAGAGGUUUACAACCGUAACCCAAUCAUAACCUUUCGCAAAAGUCACAAGUCCGUCUCUCACGAGCCUUAAUCUCCAUGGUUUACUAUCCCUAGGGCUCUCCUAGGCUACCAACUAAACCAUUUUUCUAUUAUUCUUUUUAUUGUUCAUUUUAUUCUCUGAUACCCAUCUUAUCUGUCACGCCCGCGGACCGCCGCCUAUUUGCGGGGGCGCGGCGCUGCCGAACAGAUCGCCGAAACGGACAGGGUUUCCCUGUACUGGAAGAGUCUCCCCUGUAGGUCAGGAUGAGCAAUCAAUACAUGUUGCGAAAGUUCCAACCAGCUGAACACUUUCAUCAAGAUUGCAAAUGGACAGGGUAUAUCAACAACAUAACACAUCUAUGUAUUAUUACAUUCAUUCACAUUAGAUUACAUUUUUCAUCGCAUUAAUAUAACAUUUCUUUUUAGUAUCACAAUACAAUCUUAGCUUUUAACAAUAUUUAUUUACAACUUGAUCUUUUCAUUUUCUUGAUCCAUACAGUAAGGACCGCAUCGGCAGGUACGCUAUUCUGGUCUCGCGUGGUCAGGGCGCUACACUAUGAACUACGCCCGUCGCCCGCGCCGCGCGCGCUCACGUGCGACCUCACGUGAAAACCCCAAAACCACGUGGAGGUGAAGAACCAAUCAAUUUUCCCAGUGGGGUACGACCACCAAGGGGAAAAGUCGACCAAUAGGUCCAAGGGAGGCAACGCAAAGUAUAGUUAAUAAACAGAUAGAUAUGUUUAUCUUAUUAUGAACUAAUAAACCAAUGCUUCUGACUCCGAAUCCAUAAUGCCAUGCUAUAUGGAAUACAUGCAACUAUACACGUAGAAAAAUGUUAUUACUUUGUAUCAUGCUAUCCAUUAGCUUUUCAUAAUCAUACCUCUUAUCACUACAUCAUUGGAAUUAUUUGCUCCUAAGGUUUUCCUCUACCCUAGCCAAGCUAAUACACCGACUCAGGUCUCGAGUGUCCAAUCAACUGCGGAAUACCGCACAAAAUAGGUCGAGCGAUGGACGAUCUCACAUACACCUAGCCUAGAUCCCUCAACGUGGAGAUACACAAAUCAAGUAACCGUCAUAAUGCAUAUUUACAUCAUUGAGCCCUAUGAGCCAAUCUUACGGUACGCAUGUUAACCCCCAAUAAUCAACAAUACAAAAUCUAAUACGCGGGACUGAACCUCCCUUAGAGACCUGUAAACUGGUGGGACUUUACACGCCCAUGGUGACCAAGCUCCGGAGCGCACGCGAGGGGGACGCUAACUCCCUCAAGCAAGAACUUAUCGUGCAGUGAUCGAUCCAAUAUCUCAACUUGAGGAUACAUAGCCAUAGUCACAAUGCCAAUGUCAAACUUAGUUUACUAUUUAUCAUGAACAGCUUAUGUCAACUUGCGACCAAAUGUCAAUAAUGGUUAAACCUAUGGUUUAACAAUCACUUUUUGAUGCAAUGCAUGUCUCACUAUUAGUCAUUAGCCACCCUUGUUUACUAAUGUUCACAGCCAACUCUACACAUUUACACAAUAAUAGGGUCCUAACAUAUCAUGAAUGACACCAAUAUAUUCUGAUCAAUCACCCAAGUGUUUGCUAUAGGUUCAAGGAUGCCAGGUUUAUGCCUACAGUCGAUAACAUAUAUAGAAUUGUCACUAUGCUUCCACAACAAGAAUAUGUCCGAUCAAGUCAUGUUUUGUUCAUAUUUAACAUAAUCCACAAUAAUGUCCAAUUCAUAAUAUAUCAUCAUGCACUAUACACUAGCAUCACAUUGAUUUUGUCAACCAUACAUAGUCAUCUCCAAAAUAGUCCAUACUUAGCAUACUCAUGAUUCUGUUUUAACACUUAAUUCUUAUGCAUUACAUUUGCAUUUCAUAUAGACUAUGUUAGACAAUGCAUUCUUUCUCAUUUAUACUAUGUCAUUAUGCAUCAAUAUUGAAUUUCAUUUCUUAGACAUAAAUGGGCGACCUCGUGCUUCUGUAAACACAACCACCUCAUUUCGCGUUCCGAAUGCUUGUUCGACACUUGCACACUCGGCCAAUACCGCCGGCACCAAUAGAAAGAAAAAAAAAGGCAACCCGCGUUUGGCCCGGAUCUUCCGCGACAACCCCGAACGGGCUCCAACUUCACGAUCGAAAUUAAAGAGUUCUUCGGUCUGAUGUGCACGAUGCUUUCAAAUCGCAUUUUCGAUGAUUUACGAUAUCGUCUCGGCACUGCGGCGGACCGAAGCAGUAAACGGUCAUUUCUUUAAUAAUUUGUAACGGCUCGUCGGAUUGCCGAACCGUCUUCGCCAACGCGUUCGUUUACCUAGCAAUUUGGUUUACGGAGGGUCAAAUGAGAUCAAACCCUCAUAUUUUGAGUGUUUGCAUUUUGAGCCCUAGGUUUACAACUAUGCAAGAAAUUAUUAAAUUGCUCUAUGAUUCAAGCAUUAAUCAUCUAUUAGGCAUCAAUGGGUUCCACUAAAACCAUUUUCAAAGCAUUUAGACCUAUCUUUAGAGAUUUACCAUUAUAACCCUCAUUUUGGAGCUCUAGGUCUCAAUGGGUAAAAAUCCACUAUUAGAGCUUUGGUUUCAAGCAUCAAACCUCUAAUUAGUAUGCUAGAAUACCUCUAAACCCAUUCUUAGAGCUUAAAACCAAACUAGAGAGAAAUGCCAUUAAAGGGCUCAAGAAGCUCACCUCAAAAUGAGCUCCAAAUCAUGGAAAAGAUGAAGAAGACGAAGGCGAUCCACCUCCAAGCUUCGAUCUCCACCAAAUCCACUCUUUUUGGGAGAGAUUUAGAGAGAGAAAGAGAGGGUUUUCUCUCUCCCUUCCAUGCGUGUGUGCGUGUGUUGUGUGUGCGGGUUUGGGGCAGCCACGGUUGAGGGAGAAGAAGGCUUAAGCCCAUUUUACAAUUUAACCCCUCAACAAUUACACUAUUCAUCCCGGGCAGCUUGAAAUCUGAUAACUUUCGCCGGAACUCCCUGAGUGUCGGUUUGAGCUCAAACUUGACAGUCAUGUUCGGUUUUAUUUAACUUAACAAGCUGACGAUCGCUGGUUCAGUUUCGACCCCGUUUGGUUACUGAAAAUUGUACCGAACUGUAAUCUUUAUCAGAUAACUGUUGGAUUUUAUUUCUCACUCUACGGGUGUCAGAGAAAUAUGAAACCUUAAAUCUAGCCUCAUAAAAAUAUUUCUGACAUCUCUGCCAAUUUUCAUAAUUUUCUGAGACUGUGCAUUUUCUGCUAAUUUAUCUGUCCCGUUUCCAACAGAAAAUUCUAGAUCUUCUGUUUUCAUUCCGAUUUCAGCAUAAGUCACUUCUGACUUAUGUUUUACUUCUACAAAUCCAAUAAAAAUAGUUUCUCACACUAUUUUUAUUUAUUUUUAUUUUUAUACCAAAAUCUGGUAUGUUACAAAACGGGUAUAUACCACUAAAUUAACACCGGUGUCUGCUAGCUAAGCUGCUGGGCUCUUGCCGCGAUCCUCGGCCACACUGCUCGCACUAGAACCUGUAUGGUUAGUGGUGUAAGAACUACUAAAAGUUCCCAGUGGGUUCGGCCGCCGACCUCGCCGACUCACCCACUAGGUCUAUUUAGGCAUAUGCAGACAAGAAAAGUAAACAGAUAGUAACCAAUUAUAACAUGUAACUACUACAAUGCCUGUACAAAGCUGAAAGAAGUAAUAUAUGAAAACUGGUGAAUAUGCAUGCAUGCUUUUACUGAAAUUACCCAAUCCAUUGGUUAACCCUUUGGUUAACACUAACUCACUGACACUAUCCCAAAUAUCGAGGAGACGCAAGCUACAACCCGACGGGACUGUCAACUGGGGGAGACGCACCUCCUGGUCCAGUUAAGAUGACUACUCCGGAACUCAUCGUUCAAGGAGGAGCGACCUACCUUGAACAAAACUAAUGUGAGUAUGAUCUGAUCCUCCGUUAGAGGAUUCAACAAUAGACAAUAUUAUACUUUACUCUAACUAACUCUUUAUGAUAGUUUUACAGUUUCAUUUCUCGAUGCUAACCAAAUCUCUAGUCAUGAUGUCACCAAGUUCACUAUUGUUAUAGUCCAUGCAUUCAUAGGGUUCUAUAUCCACAAUCUAAUGUUCACAUAUUCUCACUGUUGAUAAGAAAUCACAUAUUCAAAUGUCACUUGCAUAAUGCCAAUACCCUAUAAUGCAAGAAUACAAUGUAACUAUGCUCAAUGAAUAAUAUAGACAUAAAGAGUGAUUCAAAGAUUUCGGAUAGCACCACCCACCUUGUAGGGAUGCCGAAAAGCUAAGCCCAACGUCUCGAAACGUGUAAACACCAAGCCCCCGCGACUCGAUGCCAAACAGGUAGAAUGAAGCGUUUCUUAAGUCGUAGGUCCGUCGGAAUAUCAACCCAAGCUUUCAAGCAAGUCAAUCUUUCCUUCAUAGAGGAAUAAAAGGGAUUAAACUUAAGUCAUAUUCAUAUUUUUACAACUUUGCAUUUCAACUCCAACUUGCAUAUAUGUAUAUAAUAUCAACAUAUAUAUAUACAGUCUUUCUAUUAAGUUUCUUAUGACAGUUUAGGAUUUCAAAAACUAGAACAACUCAUAAUUAACCCCCUUUAGGUAGUAAAUAUCAAUCUUUACUAUUACAAUUUCUGCCACAAGUUCCACUUUACUCUAAACAAUAGCUCACAUAUCAACUAUAUAACUUAUAGUUUACUAUAGGUCCAUCUAUAGCUUUUAUAGGUUUAUCCAUGACCACCUCAACCUUUAGAAGCUAACUAAUCCAUAAUUUAACUUCUUUACAUAGCAACAACAUCAUUCUUAAGUAGAUAGUAAAGUCACUCCACCUCAAACUUUAUCACCAACAACAACUCAUAAUACAUAUAUAUACAUACAUGCAUAUAUAUAUAUCGUAUAGAGUUAAUUUUUAUAUAGGGUUUAAGGCACUUAUGGUCUUAGCACUUUAAAAAUCCCUUGUUCACUACUUCUCCACAGUGAGGGAUAUCAUUCUAACCAGGUUUAGGAUCAAUUCAUCUUAGAUUUUCAUUCGAAUCAUUCCUUCACAUAUAUUCACACAUAUACAAGCUUUCCUUAGCAUAGUUUCUAGGUUUCUAGGUUUCAUCCACAAACUUUUGAGCCUAAACUUCAUGGUUCAAGCUUCUUUAGAAUGAGAACAUACUCAAUUCAGGGUCACUUAACCAUUCUAUUGCAGGUUUCAUCCCAAAAAUCCAUCAACAUGUGGAUAUAGGCUGCCAACAAGCUUCUUUAAACUUCUUUAAGUCUCUACAAGCUUAAUUCACUUAAAAAUCUCUCUCAAGGAGCAAAUAAACUAAACCCCAGCUGAGAAGUAAACCAAUUACCUCAAGUUCGAAGCUUCCAAGACUGGUUUUCCCACUUUGGCAUCUCCAAACAAGACCAAACACCAAAGCUACCACUUCUCCAACAAUUCCUUCACUAGUUUGCUUCUUGGAUUGAGAGAAAAAGAGAGGGAAAUUUAGAUAAGAAAAAAGCUGCGGAGUGUUGUUCAAGUACCUGGGCAAGUGCUAGACAUCUGAGUUAAAAAGAUAAGAGCAGAAAAUUGCAACUUAACCCCUUAAAAAACUAAAACUGCAUUGCAGUCUAGUAGUUCACAGUUCAGUCCCUGCAGGUUCGCAAAUCAGUCCCUGCAGGUUUACGAAUCAGUCCCUGCACUAAACAGAAGCUGGCAGCAGCAGUUUUCAGCCCCGUUUGCGCGUCUAGUUCACUCCGAACUCACUCUAACACCUCCAAAACAUGCCAAAGCAUCUUCACAAGCUACCAAAUUAAUUUGGAAGCAUUUAAUUUCCAUUUUAGCAUUAUCUUGACCAUUUUGAUCAAGAUUAGCAACAUAAUCAAUGAUCCGACAUAUUACAUUUAGAGUUUAGGAAUCCCUUUGCUCUAGAUUAAUUACAAUAACCCUAAUCCGGAAUUAAGAUUAAUCUACAGGUUUCCUCUUUAAUAGUUAAUUCACAUGUAUAUUACAUAUCUAUACACAUAACAUAUAGUUUUUUUCUAGAUUCCUUUUCAUAGUAAUAUGAACUCUAGAAGCUAAAACCUGCAGCUCAAGUCUUUAUAGAGUAAUUAACACCACUCAACAUAUAGCUUGUUCUCUAAAUCUUCAUGAUAAAAUAAGUUCUAGCAACCUAGAAAUCCUUUCUUAGGGUAAUUAAAAUAAAUCCUAGCAACAUAUGGCUUGUUCUCAGGUUGAUUGCUUCAUAGAUUAAUUGCUUCACACAUAUAUAUACAUAUAUGGCUUCUUAACAUGGCAUUUACUCUCUUUAGCAACCAAAAUUUAUAGCUCCACCCUUUUUAAAGUAGAUAAUCCAAUACUAUCCAGGAAAAUAUAGCAACUUUACCUCCAAUUGAAUACUUCAACCGCCCAUCGACCAUAAUUAACUAUCUCCCUCAUGCUAAUAUACAUAGAAUAUGCAUAAUAAUAAACAUAGCCUAUAGUAGCUGGGCUAAUUAAUUAGCAAGCCUCCUAUGCACGUAAAUACACCACCUAUGUUGUUUCAUGGCAAUUUCAACUCUAGCAGCUAGGAAAUCCUCUCAUAGAGUAAUUAGAACAAGCCUAACCAACCUCUGGUUCUAUUUCCAAUCCACAGCUCACAUAUAUGAUGCUCAUAUAUAGCUUUCUCUCACUAGGUUUCCAUUACAAUAGGAACUCUAGCAAUCAAAACACCUAUUACUCAAAUCUUUUUAGGUAAUUAGAACAAAUCCAACCAGAAAAUACUAACCCUUACCAAGGAGAGCAUAAACUUAUCUCAAAACUCAGCUCCAUCAGCCUUCUCAUCAUGCUCCUUAGCUUGCUCACACAACUCAACAUCAACUCCACCAAUUCUCUAUCCUCUACUUCACACGAUUAGAGAGAGAAAGAGAAAAUAAAAAGAAUGAGAUAAGGAGAAAGGAUAUGGAGAGGGGUCCUGCAUGGAGGAAUUCUAUACUGUCACACUUGCACCACGUCAUCAAUAACAAGCCAAUCACAUUUCUUCUUUUCAAACAAAAGUACAAUAAAAAUACUUUUUUACAAUCAUGAUGGGACAUAUAUUUUUAAAAGGAUUAAUUUGAUUGGUUUGUUACGCCACGUCACUAAUAUACCCGUUGCAUUCUAGAAUUUUUCCCUGCAUGCGUGGACAGCUAGGGUAUGCUGGUUGUAAAAGAUAAGAUCAGCCUAAUUGCAAAUAAACCCCUUCUAUUGCUGAAUUUACCCUUUUUACAAAUCUGUUUCCAACUCAGAAUCUGAAACCUAUCGCCGGAGCCUUCGUUUACGCUCAAAUUUGGCAGUCAGGCUCGAUUUAACCUACUGAGUAAAAAUAUAUCUUAACUUUUCAGUUUGGACCAUGUUUGGUCACCGAAAGCUCUACCGAACUGUAAUCUUUAGCAGAUAGCAGUCGGAUUUUAUUUUCCACCUUCCGGGUGUCAGAAUGACAUGAAACUUUAAAUCUAGCCUCACAAAAAUAAUUCUGACAUAUUCUCCAGUUUUCAUAAUUUUCUAACACUGCAUUUUCUGCUAAAAUAUCAGCCCCGUUCCUUACAGAAAAUUCUAAAUCUUCUGUUUUCACUCUAAUUUCCACACAAGUCAUUUUCGACUUAUAUUUUACUCCUCGGAAUCCAAUAAAAAUAGUAUUUUACACUAUUUUUAUUUACAUCUAUUUUUAUAUUAAAAUUUCGGUAUAUUACAAUAUAUCUAUGGAUUUCGUGGUCGGAUUGCCACGUUCGUCGAGUGGCCAUGAUGCAAUUUGGGUAAUUAUGGAUCGUUUGACGAAGUCGGCACAUUUUCUACCGAUCCACACUACUUUGUCGGGUGACAAGUUGGCGCAGGUAUAUCUUGAUGACGUGAUGAGAUUGCACGGGGUUUCGAAGUCGAUCGUGUCGGAUCGAAACCCCCGGUUUACUUCACACUUUUGGAAAAGCCUGCAGGAGGCGCUUGGUACACGGCUCGACUUCAGCACUGCAUUCCAUCCUCAAACCGAUGAGCAAUCAAAAAGAACCAUCCAAAUUUUAGAGGACAUGUUGCGAGCGUGUGCUAUCGACUAUAAGGGUAAUUGGAGCGAGCAUCUGCAGAUGGCUGAGUUCGCCUACAACAACACUUACCAAUAAAGUAGGAUGGCACUGUUUGAGGCUCUCUAUGGGAGGAAGUGUCGAUCUCCUAUACACUGGAGUGAUGUGGGCGAACGGGCAGUGUUAGGCCCGGAUGUCUUGCGAGAGGCGGAAAAAAAGGUCGGCCUUACUCGCCAAAGAUUGCUCACGGCGCAAUCUAGACAAAAGUGUUACUCAGAUAAGCACCGUCGAGAUUUAGAGUUCACGGUAGGAGACCGCGUCUUCUUAAAGGUAGCACCCAUCAGGGGUGUGAAGCGCUUCGGAGUUCAGGGAAAGUUAAGUUCCCGGUACAUUGGACUUUACGAGGUGUUAGAGCGCAUUGGUGCGGUAGCUUAUCAGCUUGCGUUGCCGCCGAAACUUGCGGAUGUUCACAACGUGUUCCACAUCUCCAACCUUCACAAGUAUAUCCAUCAUCCCGAGCAUGCUUUGUUGUAUGAUCCACCGGAAUUGCAAGAGGAUAUGUCCUACGAAGAAUUUUCGGUGUCGAUUAUUGCUCGAGAGGUGCGAAAGUUGAGAAAUCGCGAGAUUCCCUACGUUAAAGUUCGGUAGAGCAAUCACGAUGAUCGCGAAGCAACGUGGGAACUCGAGGACGUGAUGAAAGCGCAUCAUCCUUAUCUCUUUGAGGAGUGAGUUGAGGUAUGAAUUUGUGUUUAAGUUAGGUUAGUUUCGAGGACGAAACUCCUUUUAAGGAGGGGAGGAUGUAAGAUAUCGAAUCCCCGUAGUAGUAAUCCACUUUUGGCCAAGUUGACCAAAGUGUGGAGAGACGGAUGCUUAGGCAAGAUCCAUUUAACAUUCCAACCAUGUUGGAAGGGUUAAAGUUGAGUUCUAAAAGAGAUAACUGAGUUUUAGCAUUGCUCGGCGCAAAAUAGAAGUCGAACAGGUGCUAAAACUGCAGUCUGGGCAUUUCGUACCGGUACAACAUCAAGGUGGUACCGGUACCCCGUAAUAAACCGAGAGUAGCAGCUCUCGGAUUUGGCCUUUGCAUAGCUGUUGAACAGGUGACAGGUUGCCCAUGUACCGGUACCAACUGCAGAAAACUGCAGGUUUGGUCUGUUGCAAUUGGGGGUUGUUUGAGGAGCUUUUAUGCAAUUGUGGCAGUUUAUAAAAGGGCCCCAACCCUUCCUUUCUUGUUCAUAGCCAGUGAACUCCCUCCUCACCAUUUUCUUUCUUCCUUUCUCUCUCCAGAAGCUCUCGUAAGGGUGGAGGCUUAAGGAGGAUUGGUGGAGAGCGAGGUUUGGAGUUGGAUCUUCGUCUUCUUCGGCUUCUUCCUCGUUGUUGUAGCAGGUUUUUGAGGUGAGCUUCGUAGAGCUUUAAUGGUAGAUUUCUAGGGUUAAGUUUUUAUACCUUAGAAAUGAUUUUUAUGGAACCCUUAGAUGCUAAGUAGAUGAUUAUUGCUUGAAUCGCGAAGUUAUACGUCGGGUUCUUGCAAUAUUUCCGACCUAGGGUUCUAAAGUUGGUUUUGUAAAGUAGAGAUCCAAAGUUGGGAUUGAUCUCUUUUGUACCUAUUUGUUAGGCUUUCGAACGCGUUGGUAAAGUCGGUUCAGUGAUUCGUUGAGCCUACGCGAGGAUAUCGCCGAAAAGGACGUUUUCGGCUUCGUUUCCGCCUGGAGGGCCGAGACGGCGACAGAAAAUUACGAAACCAGGUUCCUAGCCUCGUUGCAUCGCUAAGAGAUGGGGUGCGUCAUCCCGAAGCAGUUGGGCUUCCUUUUAUGUCUAAGUCGUAUUAUUGACCAUAUCUUCAUAUGUUGUACUUAUGCAUUAUAGGAUGUAGUAUAGUUACAAUUCUAUUUUCUUGCAUGUUCCUUAGUAGUGUAGCAUUGUGAGCUUGACACAAGAACCUAGGGUGCAUGAGGAUUGAAUCUGGUGACAUGAAAUCCUAUAGUGACAAGAUAAGUGACAACAUGAAUUUGAGAUGAUGAUAAUAGUUGAUGUUGAACUAGUGUAGUAGAAGCACUACAACAUGAACGAGUGGCAUAUAAACUAGUUGAAACACCUACAACUAAUAAUUUGAACGAGUGGCAUCGAAUCUAGUAUAGUGAUACAUUAUGACAUGAUUCUAGGGAUAGUAGAGUUCCCGGUUAGUGAAUUGUGCACUUUGGAAUUAGUACGGUAGAAGCACUAUGACCCUUGUAGCUAGGGUAUCCUCGAGUUGUGAGGAUUGGAUCAUACUCAUUAGUCUAUUUACACUUGGUGUGGUCGCUCCACCCAAAUAGUGGUCUCCGGAGUACUUCACGACAGGGGCAGACGUAGUUAUCCCGCAGACGGUCUCGGUGUGCGAGUGCAGAUUCUCCUCACCUAUGAGAUUGAAAGGUGAGUCGGGGCGAACCUUCGGGCUAGCCAAGUUGAUUGAGUAAUGAACAUAAAUAGCAUAGUAGAUUUGCAUUCAUACCAUGAGUAGACAUAGUGUAUGUUAGUAGAUUGCAUAACUAUCUUUGUAUUUAUAUUCAUGAUAACGUUGAAGCAUACUAGCAUGAUAGUAGGUUUGUGGCUAGUUGGACACUUCAUGCAUUGCUUAGCAUUCGAUGGCAUAGUAGAAUGUAGCAGUUCAUUUCUAUCUAUCUAUCUAUCUAUCUAUCUAUCUAUCUGCUUAUGACUGCUUAGACCUAGUGGGAAGAUCGGCAGAGUCGGCGGCCGAAUCCACUAGGAACUAUAUUUAUAUAGUUCUCACCCCACUUUGUUGCAGGGUCGAGUUCGAGUGGACCGGCCGAGGACCGCGGUAAGGGCGCAGCGCCCUAGUAGUUAGCGGCUUUUCUGUUGCAUUAGAGUAUCCCGUGUAUAUAGAGAUGUUGAUAUGUAUAUAUUGGAGAGCUACUCAUGUAUAUAAAUGUUGAACUUGUAUACACCUUUUGGAGAUGUGAAUAUAUUUUGUGGAUGUUGUAUGUAAAUGUAAUAGCUAGGAAUCUCUCUUUUGUUCACUUGUAUAUCUACUUGUGUCUUGCUCUCGCUUGUAUAGCACUUGUGGUGCUUCAUGUAUAUUGUUUAAGUUUACCUGGGCAACAUGAUGUACAUGACUGUGUUUGUUAGCCUUGGGCGGACAGGUGAGGUGUUGUCCGCUCGGCGUCUGUUUAACGUGCCCCAACCGACCAAACUGGCGGUUGCGGGGCGUGACACACAUUGUCUCUAAUUAUUCAGAAUAAUACUUAAAAAGUGGGGUCCACCUCCUCUUUAACUAUUUAGAAUAAUAUUUAUUUUUUUAAAAAAUAGGACCUACCCUCCCAACCCGUACCCUCUGACCCCCUGCCUUCUUUUUCUUUUAUUUUUGUUUUUUUCGUCCACCGCUCCAGCUCCUCAUCCCGAAACCCCUCCAUCCUUUCGCCUCUUCUUCUCUUCUCCUUACCGUCCCCGUGUCCCCUCAUCUUCCCCACUCUCUCAAGCCUUAACUUCCACCCUCUGGUCUUCUCCGCGAUCAGGCAUCCACUAACUCUUUCUCUCUCUCUUUUUCUCUCUUUCCCUCUCCUCUUUCUCUAUCCCCUAGUAAUGGUCUCCUUUCUCUCUCCUCUCGCCACAAUGCCCAUGCCCUAAACCCUCCCUUGCGCUGCCGCCCCGCAAACCCUAACCCUAACCCUUUCCCUCCUCUCUACAUCCUCUUCUCGACCACUCCUCGGUGGCUCUGCACUUGCGUCGAUCAGAUCAGGGCUUCGAUGCAGUCCCUGAUUUUCGGAUCGCAACCAAUAGAAAGGAGCCUCGCGGAUUCGACGGAGACAACAGAGGUGAGCUAUGGAUCAGAUCCUCGAGGUGGAGAACAUUCUAUGAAUUCCCGUGGGAUUCGAGCUCUCCCCUUAUUUCAAGGAAAAAAGUGGGAAGUCAGCAGAUGUCACCGGGAAGUUCUUCGCAAGUAAUUUCGCUAGAGGUUCGACAUCAUCGACAAGGAGAAUCUCAUUAUGUGUUCCCCUUCUCUCUCUCUCUCUAGACUGAGAUAUGGUGUGAGGUAGAUUGAAUUUGUAGGUCCUGUGACUAUUGCAGAUCGAGAAGCAAAGGAGUCGAUGGUGUCGAUCAUACUGGAGAGCUUCCCUUCUCAUGCUGUGUGAGAUUGCUAACUUGCUAAUUUUCUUUUGAUUCUUAGUUGUAAUUUGCUUGAAAUCGAAGGUUUAGAAGAAAACGUAACAUAAUAUUUUUUUAAUUAUCAAAAUAUUAUGUAUUUUUCAUAACGGAAACUUAAUUUUCAAAUUCUCACUAAAUCAGAUGGAGUUUCUGUUGAGGUUCAAAUAUAAAAUCCUAGAAUUCAAUUACCUAUUUUAUUGUCUAAAGCUAAUCAAUGUCCCUAAUAUAUUUUCCUUGCUACAAUUUUCUAUUGCUUUAUUUUAGCUAUGGUGCUCCUAAGAGAGUUGAUUUUUUUUUUUUCAUUUAUAUAAUUCAACUAUGAUGAUCUGAAGCUUGUCAUAUAGUAUCCAAAGUAAAAAAAAAUUGUAGUUGAGUUUGCUACUGAAAUCAUUGACUAAUUUGCAGGUCUUUAUGUGUCACGCCGGGUACCAGCGGAAGCAUAUCCGGUACGUGCAUAGACCCGCCAUACACCUGUAGUAUAUAAGGCGUCUACAAGAAACAAGUCGAUAGGAGUAAAAACAUAAAAUAAUCCUAUCCUGAUAUCAGAGCAUAAUAAAAGUCACAAAGAUUAUCAACAAUAGAACAAGGAGUAUCUAAUCCACAAACUCAACAAAACGUAAGUAUCACAACUAUAACAUCUGUCCAGAAAGUAAAUAUACAUCACGGGGUGUACAAAAAGAAUAGAUACAAUGGUGGUCUCUCUAUACAUAGGGACAUCACCCUCGGCCGUAGCCCGAGUAGUAAGGUGAUCGACUAGCAUGCUCCUAGCAAUGUCUAGCUAGACGCGACUCCCUUGCCACGAUCCCUAGCCUCUCCUGUAGAUGGCUCUGUAAAAACAACCACNGAGAUGUGCUGAACCAUAGACUUUGUUUGCUUGCCAUUGUGCUCAUUCGCACACGCUUGUGAGGGUAGCUCCCUACAAGCCGGCACUUCGGAGUUGGCCUACACGACACUUGCUCGCCCGUGCGGGAUUGGGUGCCGAAGUGGAUUGCCGUGGGGAGUGUAUACUACCACGGGGCCAUUAGACGCGGCGCAAGCUGGACUACCUGGGGUAGGUCCUAAUAAAUGAAAAGGAAAACUAUAAAUGAGAUUAAGUACUAAAUGAUAUUUGAUAGUAUUUGAUAGUAACGAAUGCUUACCUGUUACAGUAGGUAUCUACAUAUUCGUGCUUAUGUUCAUGUUGAUUUCAUGCUCAUCACCUGUUAGCAUUGCAUAUAUAUAUAUAUAUAUAUAUAUAUAUAUAUGCAAUGCUAACAGGUGAUGAGCAUGAAAUCAACAUGAACAUAAGCACGAAUAUGUAGAUACCUACUGUAACAGGUAAGCAUUCGUUACUAUCAAAUACUAUCAAAUAUCAUUUAGUACUUAAUCUCAUUUAUAGUUUUCCUUUUCAUUUAUUAGGACCUACCCCAGGUAGUCCAGCUUGCGCCGCGUCUAAUGGCCCCGUGGUAGUAUACACUCCCCACGGCAAUCCACUUCGGCACCCAAUCCCGCACGGGCGAGCAAGUGUCGUGUAGGCCAACUCCGAAGUGCCGGCUUGUAGGGAGCUACCCUCACAAGCGUGUGCGAAUGAGCACAAUGGCAAGCAAACAAAGUCUAUGGUUCAGCACAUCUCUAACAUCUUGGCAUAGUACAUCAUGUUGUCACUCUCGAUUUAUUGAUCAGAAUUCUCAAUAUAAAGAAUAUUGACAAUAACUAGUAACCACUAGAUUAGUAAGCAUGUGAGAGUAAUGCGAAUUCACAUAUGGCAUUAGAAACUAUCCACUACCAUGGCACUAUCAUUAUAGUCACCAAUCAUGUCCUUGUUCUAUACUCUAUAAUCAAUAAAGUCAUAAGAAUGUUAUUGUUCUCUAAUUUCUAGGAACAUGAUAACUUGUCCAUUAAUCAUUCAACCGAGUUAAACAUGAACAUAAAGACUUGUAUGCAUAAAUGUUCUCUAUUUCAUAGAGUUCUCAAUUUAAUUAUGCAUUAUGCAUCGACACUAGAGUUUAAUGACUAGUCUCAAGUCCUAUAUCCACCACCAAAAACAUACAAUUAUGCCAAUUCUAUAAUGACAUAUAGAACAUAGGGGAGCUUCACUUGCUCUGGUUAGGUCAAACCCACCUAUCACAAGGCUCAAAUCAGUCCAAAAGAGUCCCAAGAUGUAGCUCAACUAGUCCCCGACCCUGCUGAAAAUGAAACGUAAGAAUCGCGUCAUAACGGGUACUACAAAUCCAAUUUCGGCGAAAUUCUCAAUUGCAACUAUAUUGGGACUUAAUUCCCUAUUUUGGUUCAGGGGAAUACCUCAAAUUAAGCCUCCACAAGCUCUCACCAACUAGAUGAAAACGAUACAAGGGUCAAUUAUAAUCCUGCUGCGGACAAACACGAAAUGGCGUCAAAAAGCUCAUAUACAAAAUCAAAUGGCCGAAACUUUGCGAAUUCAGUUUUCUAACUGAAAUUCUUGCUUACCCCUGGCUGGAACACCCUGUAGACAAGUUCUCGAGGUCAUAAAUAUAGUUUAAUGGAGUUCAAUAACCUGCUGCGAAGACAUAAAAUCCAAACUGCAUCAAUUACACGGUUAACUUCGUUUAGUUCCGAACUAGCUUCGUAAAUAAGUAAUUCUCUUACCUCGGCUUUACAGCAACUCUUUUACUGAGCUAAAGUAGUUCCUUCACAGUCAAAAGAAUCCCUCGUUACUACUGAAAACCUCCUCGAAUUCAGUUAGAAGCAGUGAAACCAAAAUGCAUCAAAUUUCAAUGCUAUAUCGCAAAUUAGCGAGAAAUUGAGCUAAUUCCUUAUCUAAAGCUGAGAUAUAGCUUCUUAGGUACUAACCUCAUAGAAAACUCAGAGAAAAACUUCCUCCCCAUGUGCUAGAAGCAUCCCGAGAGUCGCCAAGGCAGCGAGCAACGAGCACGGCACGAAAUCAACUCGAAUCGGCGACUUUUCCGUAGAGAGAGAAAAACCCUAGAGAGAGAGAGAGAAAGAAAAGGUAGAGGAUCAAAUCCUGAGCUCCAGAACCCUCUACUGAGUAUCCCUGGUCGAGCUGGGCAAAAGGGAUAAGAACAGGAGGCAAAAAGACCAAAAUAACCUGUUGCCACGCACCUGCUGCAGCUGCUGCUUGCUGUACCGGUACAGGGUGAUGGCUGUACCGGUACACAGUGCAGAAAAUGCUGAAUUUCGCCAGUUCAAUGCACUUUCUUGCUUCUAACUUUCCAAUUAUCCUCUAACUUGUUCAAAAACUUGUCUAAACCUUUUAGGACAUGUAGAAUAGUUCCACAUUCCAUUCCACACACUCGAACUCCGCAAUUUGCAGAAGUUCAGUGUAUUACAUUAUGCCUUUCAAGUUUAGAAUAAGAGCCAGUCGAGUAACAAUCAAGUGUUGGUUCAAAAGUGUUUCAAGUAAAUUUGCAUUCCCAAAAAUUGUAGAAUCUUUCAGGUAAAUUUGCAUUCUUUUGUGCUUAUCAAGAUUUCGACCAUUGCGAGUUUGUUUGUGUAAUACAAUAUUACUGGAAGAAAUAUUAGAUGCUUUAUUAAUUCUCACUUGGCAACGAUGUCUUAAUAAACUUAUUUAUUGCUUAGAUAACCUUACUACAAAAUAAUCAUUUACUAAUUAGUGCCUUUAUUGCUGGCAGGUGUUGUGACCAUAGUUAGUUAAUUCGGAUUCGGCAAAAAUUUGGUACGGAUAUAAUUCGGAUAAAAUUCGUCUUCUAAUUUUUAAAUUCGUUAAAAAAUACGGCUAAAAAACGGAUUCGUCAAUUAUUUGGAUACGUGAUUUAUACGGAUAUUAUACGUUCAUCAAUUAAAAAUUCGGGAACAAAAAUUCAGCUAUUAAAUUAAGUUUUUUUUCUCUCAAGAUUUAUGUUAUUAGUAUAAAUACUCAUAUUUCUUAUGAAUAUAAGAAUAAAAAGAUACAAAAUUAAGUUAAUUUAGUAAAAAAUUUGAAAAAAGUUUUUUUUCUGUAAUUAAAUUAAGAGUUUUUUUUUUCUGUAACUUAAUUAAAUUAAGUUAAUUAAUAAGUACGGGCGCUCCGCUCGAGGCUGUCACGCCCGGGUACCAGCGGAAGCAUAUC